rnacentral:lncRNA from 1 species
UAAGAGUAACGUCGCUUGAUUAGCGGAUGAAAGUACGGCUUUGUCAGUCAUAAUUUAAUCACGAGGGGCUCCCUUAGUUAAGGUGAUGGGUGAGAGCUUUGGAUGCUGUGAAAGCCCUGGCGGUGCGCAGAGUUGUCGGGCAGGGCAGGGCAGGGUGUGAGGAUAAGGCUGUAAAAGUGUUGGUUAAAAAAACAGGCUAUCUCUCCUUUUCUAGCAUUUCUCAUCCAUUUUACUGAACUCCAGUGGCCUUUUUACGUGCUGCUGCUGGACUACCGUGUUACUACUCCUUGCUCUCUUUGUUGGAUCACACUUGCUUUUAUUUUAUAGUAGUACUGUACUUUGAAGAUCACACUUUCAUCACACACACACACACAGAGACACACACACAGCUUGGCCGGUUAGCUGUGCCUUGACAAUUCCUUGGACACGAAAUUGCCCUCUGCUCCGUCGUCAUUUGGAAGCUCUCUAAUUGUCGCCAGUGGGGUUAGUCCUAGAUGUGGUCCCACUAAUUGUCCAGGGCCGAAAAUUGGGACCGAAGAGAGAGGCCACGAGAGAGAUUGGCUCGAAAUCGCGGACGGUUUGUUCGCCUCGCUGAGGAGAACGUUGGUGCUCGCUUUUGCUUUGCCGUUCUUCUGUGGUGGGGCUGCCUACCUCGGGCACUGUGCCCCUUUUGGCUGUGUCUGUCGCUGUUGGCUGGGGCUCCUGCCACCUACUGUACUACCCCAUGCAUCCGAAUUUCUUUAAAACACUCGUACCGUGCUGCGACCCGCGUCAGUGACUGCUGCUGAUGGCAACGCUCCUCCGGUCCGGUUGAGGCUACUGGCUCACGCGCGGUGUAAACAGCGAGAGAGAGGAGGUGGUGGUGGCCGACCGGUUUCGCUAGAGGUGUAAACAUGGCACAUGGGAGGGGGAAGCGGAGGACACGGGAAAACAAGGCAGCCGUUUCACAAGGCCGCCACGCUCGAUUGCGCCAGCUACUCAUCUUCGCCAGCAAAUGCGUACAAUGCCGUGUAGUGCAGGGGCAGACAUGAUGAAACUCAACUGUACGCGUCGGAACGAAGGAUGAAAGUACGCGUUUUCCUUUUCUAGUUGUACAAAAUCGGGACGCGGCAUCGGUGCAUGGCGUGCUCCGUCCACAAAUCCUGCCUGCAUUCGCUCCCUCCUGCACCCGUCCGUCGCCACGCGGCUUUAUUACUAGGAGGAAAUAGCACCGACGGUGCGUGACCCGCCGCAUAAUGUCAAUGUGUACACACUACACAUAGUACAUAGCAAGCCAUCCACAACUGGCCGGACCACCCGCUACUGCUCGGGUACUAGUAGUACCAACUCGCGACGGCGAAGAAGAACCCCGUGCCUUCUUUUUUUUUUCCUUCUUUUUUUUUCGCGAAUACGCAAAGCUUGCAUAUCUUUUCAUUGAUAGAAAAAAAUGAAUGAAUAUAAUAAAGGAUACAACACAUGACAUAAACGCAAGGAGGCAUGAUCAUGGUAACCGGAGCAGAAAGACAAGGGGUGCUCAGCCCAAACAGGGGGAGAUGACACAACUAAACCCACUAGUCCUAAACAGAGAGGCAAACCAAACUAGCACAAUGUCAAACAUCUUCAAAUUCAACAUCGGGGACACCGCGAGCAAACAAGAGAGCGCUUUCAAGAAGGGGUGCGACGUCAUGAUGCCGCCGCCAUUCGAUCCGAAGAACCGGACCUAGGGUUUCCCUCAAUGCUCGAAGAGGGACACGGAUAAAGGCCAUGGCAGCGCCUCCAGGAAGGGAAACGACACUCGCAAGUGCCGCCGCUGCCAGCAUCGGCAAGCCGAGCAUGGAUUUCGCCUGGCCUGAGUCCGAGUAAUCCCAUAGCCGCCAGAUCAAGAUCCGAAGAUGAGGAAGACAAUCCGCCGGUCGACUGCCAUCCCGGUAGGGAGAUGGUGGGGCUGCACCUGCUGCCGAAAGAACACAAGCUUUGGAAACGACAUGCCGUGAGUGUGGAUGGGGUCGGGAAGGCAACGCGGUAGAAAGCCGACGUGGAGGAUAUGAUGGCGACCCACGCCACUGCCAAGCUGGAGCCGGAAGGGAGCGCAGAUCCAAGUUGCUGGAGGCGAAGCCGCCAGAACAUCGGCAAACCGAUGACGCUGGAGGGGGCCGCAACGACCGGAGUGUUGGCCGAAAUCGCGCCGGUAAGGACGCUGGCAGGCCAAGGACGCUGGAGAACGCAGGUCAGUGGCCGCCGGGGCCGGAGCAGCGUCGGCAAGGACCCGCCACGAAGCUUCAGCUUGCUGCCCAAAACACACCUUGACCACACACGGGCAGAGGCCGUCACAGUAACUCAGAGGAGGCGCCGUCGGAGACGGAGGGCGGUCUGCAACGGGGCAAGGCCGAACCUUGGCCAGCCCGUCACAUCCACGCGAGCCCUCGCACGACCCAGCGAACGACAGCAAGAGAAGCUGCGCGAGCAGGGGGCAAGAGGCAGACGGGGGAGGUACACGACGAGAACGGCCGCACCGCCACUCCGGACAGGCAGGACGAACACAUCAGCAAUAGGAGGGGAGGGAAGCCCGCGGCACGCCAGAUCAGAUCUGGGGGCGGCGAGGUUGGGGAGGAGCUCCAACGCGAAGGGGGUGAAGCCGGCCUGCCAGCCCCAUCGUCAGGCGCGGCGCGGCGACACCGGCCGCCCGCCGACGGCAGCGGCGCGGGGGCACGAUGGUGGCGGAGGGGUUGCUGGGGGCGGGAGGGCCUGUGCGAAGGGGAGGACGAAACCGCCCCGCCACCGCCAUCUCCAGGCACGACGCGGCUUCGCCGGCCGGCCCUCCGGCGGCGGCGAUGCGGGGGGCGCUGGCGGAGGGGGGCUACCGGCGCUGACAAAGAUUUCCCCCGAGUCGCCGGUUGCGGGCGACGCGGGGGCGGGGGAGAUGAUGGGCGUUCUCCUCUUUAACCCCGUGCCUUCUGCCUUGGGAAACUCCAACGCGGGCAUCUCAGUGCCCUAAGACUAUCCACAGCAGGAGUAACAUAAAUAGUAACAUCACAUAUCUAGAUAAAAUAUAUGAUGUGGCAAGCAAUAAAUAAAGAAAAAUAGGCAUGUUGUAACAUAGCUAGUUACUACUAGUAUGAGUAACAUCACAUAUAUCAAGAUAAGAUGAGUCUAUAGCAUAAUAAAUAAAAUGUUGCAUGUUACCACACAUAUAUUACUCUCCACUAUGGAGGUAGUAACAUAGAAUAGUAACAUGGGCAUGUUACUACUCGAUGUUACUACCCAUUGUGACUAGUCUAAAUAUCUACUCCAACCAACGCGGGUCAAAAACGCAUCUGGACCAGUCCGGACAUCCAAAAUUCUACAAACCGUGGAGGUUUAUGGACGUCCGUCGCUUUUACACAAACACACCCGAUCAAUUUAGACCAAUCAAUUUAUGCAAUGUGGUGUAUAAGGUUAUUUCAAAAUUGAUUGUUGCUCGAAAGAAAAUAAUUCUAUGAUAUUAUCAGCCCAACCCAAAGUGUUUUUGUUCCUGGAAGAAUGAUCACAUACAACAUUUUAGUGCCUUAUGAGUAUUUUCAUACAAUAUAAAAGAAAAAGGCGGGUAAAGAAGGUUUGUGUGCCAUUAAACUGGAUAUGCACAAAGUUUAUGACCAUGUGAAAUGGCCUUUUCUUAAAGAAUUUGUGUUGAGAGUGGGUUUCAGAGAAAAUUGGGUGAUCUUAAUCUUAAAUAUGCAAUACGUAUCCUCUCUGAAGUAUAGGGUUCGAUUUAAUGCUGAGGAGAUCAACAAUUUUAAACCUUCAAAAGAACUAAGACAUGGGCCCUCUCUCUCCCUACUUGUUCUUAUUAUGUACGCAGGGCCUAAAUGCUAUCUUAGCAAAUGCGAUUUUCGACAUAAAGAUUAGCAGAGAAGCUCCUGCAGUUUCCAACCUAUUUUUUGUGGAUGAUUCCUUGAUCCUUAUGUGAGCGAAUGCAAGGAACGCGGAGGCUCUAAGAGCAGUUCUGGAUUCCUAUUGUGCCGCCUCAGGGGAAAUGGUAAGUCUUGAAAAAUCCAACAUAUUUUUUAGCCCCGAUACCAAAGUGGAAGACAGGGUGCAAGUUUGUACUGUUCUGACUAUUAUGAUCGAAGCACUCAAUGACAAAUAAUUAGGUUUACCUGCCAAUGUGGGGAUGGACAAGAGCGAUUGCUUUCAGUUUCUGAUUGAUAGAGCUAUUAUGAAAAUUAGUGGAUGGAAAGAAAAAUUGUUAUCUUCUGGAGGAAAGGAACUUUCCCUCAAAUUUGUUGUUCAAGUGAUUCCAACUUACGUCAUGUCCGCCUUUAAAACUCCUUAAAAUUUUCACAAAGGAAUUAUUGCCCCGAUAUUAAAAUUUUGAUGGGGUGAUGAGGACAAUCAAAAAAGGAUGCACUGAAUGGCAUAGUGGAAAAUGUGUGUUCUAAAAAAUCAAGGAGGAAUGGGAUUAUGAGAUUUACAUUGUUUCAAUAUGGCAUUGUUAGCUAAACAAGCUUGGCGUCUCCUAGAUAAUCCUGAUUCGCUAUGUGCUACAAUCUUAAGAGCCAACUAUUUCCCCGAGGGCGACCUUGAUGAACACAAGCUUAAAAAAGGGUUCCUCCUUCACUUGGCAAACACUGGUGGAAAAACGGCUAGCCACAACUUUCGUUGGUGGCGCACCAUUUUCCAUCAAUGCCAGGCCAACACUAUUUUUUUUUUCAAAUAGUGUUGGCGUUGGCAUAAUUAGCACGUGAGCUUUACAUGUUUAGUGUUGACGUUGUUUUUUCUAGACACUCCACAAACGUGUUGGCCCAUAUGUACUCACCGUCUGAAAUGUAGGUGGCGUUGGUUUUCUAUGCCCGCCGUAGUUAAUUUGUUAGUGUUGGUGUUGGUUUUCUAUGCAUGCCUGAAAUAAUUUUUCAAUUUUAUCAUGUGUUUUAAGUAUUCAAUGAUAAUACUAGUCACAAAAUAAUGAAUAUAUUAUAUUAUAUUUUCGUCAUCAUUAUUAUUAGUGUUUUUAUAGGACUUUUAUUUCUUUACUACCUGUUCUAAUUUUGAACCUUUUAUUUGGUUAAGUCUUUCAUUAAUCUUAGUCUUUCUUAUUCGGGUCGUUAUUAGCUUUGGCGUUGCACUUUAGGCCCACGCUAGCAAUGGUCCACCUGAGUCAACUUAGUAGAAGACCUAAGCCACCGCCCUCUUAUUUCACAUCCACCCUGUAUGCACCCCCUCAACCACCCGUCGCCUCCCCUUGCCGGCAGCAAGGUUCGAUCCACUUCUUCCCCUCCCAUCGCAUCUCCUUCCUUUCCACUCCCACAUCCUUCGUCCGCGGAUAUGCCACACGAAAUCCUUGGGAUUCAUGUAGAAGCUGAUUUAGGGGGUUGCUUUAAUUUGUGUAGAAACUUUAGUAUAUAUCAUGGAUUGCUUUGUGUGAUGUAGAAUCCAAAGUUAGUUGCAUGGAUUGCUUUGUGUAGAAAUUUUAGUGCUGAUUGCUAUUAUGUAGAAUCUAAUAUUUCUAGUGCAUUUUUAUUAGAAAUAUUUUGAGUGUCUCGAAUAUUAAUGAUUUAAGUUCAACUUAAUCUGGUAGUGUAGUCUAGAAUAUUAGGAAUAAAUAAAAUAAACUCCUAUCAAUUACUAGUGUAGAAUUUGUUUAUUUGUGUCUCCCUCUGUGGAUUUUGUUUAUUUGUGUAUACAAUUACUAGUGUAGAAUUAUAUACUUAGUUUUUAAUAUGUUUUGUGUAAAAUGAACUCCAAUUAUGUUUAGUAGAAAUUGAUUUACUAGUGUACAAACUGAUUAUAUAUUUAGUUUUCAAUAUGUUUUGUGUAGAAUAGGCAACCACCACCAUGUCGAGUGUGCAAGUCAAGGUGCGCAACCAGCCUUGCAACCAGCACAUUGUUUGCCAUCUAUUUCCAACUGUGUUUUGUUCCUGCAGCGGUAACACAUUAUAUGAACCUUCUAACAGUUAGUUCUUUUGUUUUGUUGCUAUUUCUAGUAGUGCUAUGUGUGUGUUUUUUGGUUUUUCUUACACAGAUCGUCCCUUACAAUGUGAGGCUAGAGUUCAAUGAGCUCAUUAUCGGAGACACUGUGAUCUUUGACGCACCUGGGGGGCCUACACUAUGGAGGUCGAGAAGAGACGAAAGAUAUCCCAGAUUGGAGGAGAUGAAUGGGAUCGUUUCAUCGCCCACAUGCAUCUCACUCGAGCGAAUUGAUCAGUUUCUCCCUUAGUAGACAAACUCCAAGGCUGUCUGUUAUCUACGUCAACUCGGAGGAUGAAGAUAAUGAGGACCCAUUUGAUGAAUUCCUCCAUGCCUAAAGAAUGAGGCUGAGCGAGGACGAGUUAGGCAACCUCUAGCACAUACUUCCUCCACGUGAUGACUAUGUCGGGAUGCCAUGUGUGACCCUCCCGACAAGGACGAAUGUUAACCGCCAUCUCAUGGUAUGUUACUUAGUGUAGUAAUUUGAUAUGCUUAGUGUAGUAAUACUAUGAUGAUAUAUGCUUACUUAGUGUAGUAAUGCAUGAUGCAUCAUAUCUUUAGUGUAGUAAUGUUGUGAUAUGCUUAGUGAGGGAGUCCUGGAUUAGGGGGUCUCCGGACAGCCGGACUAUAUCCUUUGGCCGGACUGUUGGACUAUGAAGAUACAAGAUUGAAGACUUCGUCUCGUGUCCGGAUGGGACUCUACUUGGCGUGGAAGACAAGCUAGGCAGUACGGAUAUGGAUAUCUCCUCCGUUGUAACCGACCUUGUGUAACCCUAGCCCCCUCUGGUGUCUAUAUAAUCCGGAGGGUUUUAGUCCGUAGGACAACAUACAAUCAUACCAUAGGCUAGCUUCUAGGGUUUAGCCUCUUCGAUCUCGUGGUAGAUCAACUCUUGUAAUACUCAUAUCAUCAAGAAUAAAUCAAGCAGGACAUAGGGUUUUACCUCCAUCAAGAGGGCCCGAACCUGGAUAAAACAUCGUGUCCCCUGCCUCCUGUUACCAUCUGCCUUAGACGCACAGUUCGGGACCCCCUACCCGAGAUCCGCCGGUUUUGAUACCGACAUUGGUGCUUUCAUUGAGAGUUCCUCUGUGUCAUCGCCAUCAGGCUUGAUGGCUCCUUCAAUCACCAAUAGCGAUGCAGUCCAGGGUGAGACUUUUCUCCCCGGACAGAUCUUUGUAUUCGGCGGCUUCGCACUGCGGGCCAACUUGCUUGGCCAUCUGGAGCAGAUCGAAAGUUACGCCCCUGGCCAUCAGGUCAGGUUUGGAAGCUUAAAUUACACGAUCGAUAUCCGCGGAGACUUGAUCUUCGAUGAAUUCGAGCCCCUGCCUUGUGCGCCACACGGUCACGAUGAGUACGAUUUAGCUCUACCAUCGGACGGUAUUCAGGAGAUCGCACCGGCAGCCGCUCCGAGCCUCAAUUCGGAGCCAGUUGCGCCAUCCAUGGACAGGUGGAUAGACCCCGUCACGGAGGCCGUAUCCUCAGCGGCGAUUGAGCCGAAUAUCGACCUUACCCUUCACGAGAGCCGUGUUGCCAAACUGUCGGAUCCUUCCCCGGCCACGGACUCCGAACCGCCUGCGCCCGUGCCUAUCAAAUCCGACUGGGCGCCAAUCAUGGAGUUCACCUCCGCGGAUAUCUUUCAGCACUCGCCCUUCGACGACAUACUGAAUUAAUUAAAGUCUCUCUCCUUGUUAGGAGAGUCCUGGCCGAACUAUGUCCGGCAGGAUUGGCAUGCGGAUGACGAAGAAAUUCGCCGCCCACCCACCACCCACUUAGUAGCCACUGUCGAUGACUUAACCAACAUGCUCGACUUCGACUCCGAAGACAUCGACGGUAUGGACGACGAUGCAGGAGACGAAUAGGAACCACUGCCCACAGGGCACUGGACGCCCACUUCAUCACAUGACGUAUACAUGGUGGACACACCAAAAGAAAACGGCGACGAGGAACGGAAGGACACAACAAAGGAUUGUCCCCUCGAGAAGCAGUCAAAGCGGCGGCGUAAGCGCCGCUCCAAAUCCUGCCUCGGCAGAAACAACGAUCAUAUAGACCCAGCAUUAGAGCAGGGUGAACCAUUGUCGGACCACGGCAACACGGAGAAUCAAACCGAGCAACCCGACUCUGUCAAAGAUAAUAGUCUAGACGACAUCACACCGGACAGACACCCAGAGCAACAGAAUGCCUGUCAAAGGCUUGUUGCCACCGCGAGGAGUCUAAAAAACAGAAGCAAAGGCUCAAGGCUGCGCAAGACAUACUCAGAAUCAGAUGGAGUAAAGUACUCAACACAGCAGCGAAGUACGGCGGUAAUCGCCCCACCAAGAGCUACCCGAAGCGGAAGUUGCUACCUGAAUUCGACGAGGAGGCCUUAGAUCCCCCGCAACCAAAAAUUAAAACGGCCAUCUGGCCGGAUAGAUGACCUCACGGCCAACAUAGAGCGGCAAACAACGCCGCACAUAAGCCAAUACGCGAUCCACGCGAGGGCUCGCAUCAAAAGGACGACGCAACCAGAUCCAUCUAUGGACCACACAAGCGCGCUCCAGCAUACGAUGCAACACAACAAACAUCCGAACAAUGCGGUACACCCGGAUACAGGGGUGCCGCACACCCCCUAUGUUUCACCGACAAGGUGCUGGACCAUGAAUUUCCAGAGGGAUUCAAACCCGUAAACAUCGAGGCAUACGACGGAACAACAGACCCUGGGGUCUGGAUUGAGGACUAUAUCCUCCAUAUCCAUAUGGCUCGAGGAGAUGAUCUCCACGCCAUUAAGUAUUUACCCCUCAAACUCAAAGGGCCAGCUCGGCACUGGCUUAAAAGCCUCCCCGAAAGCUCCAUUGGAAGCUGGGAAGAGCUCGAAGACGCUUUUCGGGCAAAUUUUCAAGGGACUUAUGUCCGACCUCCAGAUGCGGAUGAUUUAGGUCAUAUAACUCAACAGCCCGGAGAGUCAACCUGAAAGCUUUGGAACCGAUUUCUUACUAAAAAGAACCAAAUAGUCGACUGUCCGGACGCCGAAGCCUUGGCAGCUUUUAAACACAGCGUCCGAGACGAAUGGCUUGCCAGACACCUCGGCCAAGAAAAGCCGAGAACGAUGGCAGCAUUAACAAGCCUCAUGACCCGCUUUUGCGCGGGCGAGGACAGCUGGCUAGCCCGAUGCAGCACCAGCGACCCAAGUACAUCCGAAGUUAGAGAUGGAAACAGGAAAUCACGACGCAGCAAAAAUAAUAAGCGCCGGAAUAAAGAAGACAACCCCAAGAGCACGGCGGUAAACACCGGAUUCAGAAGCUCUCAGCCAGGUCAGCAAAAGCCGCCCUCUAAAGGCAGCAGAGACGAACUGUCCAGCCUAAACAAAAUUCUGGACCAAAUAUGUCAGAUCCAUAGCACCCCCGGUAAACCCGCUAAUCAUACCCACAGAGAAUGUUGGGUCUUCAAGCAGUCCAGCAAGCUCAACGCCGUACACAAGGGGGAGGAUACACCAAGCGAAGAUGAGGAUGAGCCUCUCAAGCAAGACACUGGGGAACAAAAGAAAUUUCCACCAGAAGUCAAAACAGUAAACGUGUUACACGUUAUCAAGGGGAGAAACAAAACUGCACUCCCAGAUAAAUAUGCCCAAGGGCCUAUCACCGCGGAAUUCUGCCACUGGCCGUCUCAACCGAUCACCUUCGACCACCAGGAUUACUCAGCAAGUAUCUGGCGCGCAAGAUGGGCUGCCUUGGUAUUAGAUCCAAUAAUUGACGGAUACCACUUCACACGAGUCCUGAUGGACGGUGGCAGCAGUCUAAACCUGAUAUAUCCAGACACAGUCCGCAAAAAGGGGAUAGACCCAACGAAAAUUUGCCACAGCAAUACUACAUUUAAAGGAGUAACGCCAGGCCCAAGGGCUCAUUGCACGGGCUCCUUGCUACUAGAGGUUAUAUUCGGCUUCUCCGAUAACUUCCAUAGCAAAAAUUUAACCUUCCACAUUGCGCCAUUCCAAAGUGGCUAUCAAGCACUACUUGGACGCGAAGCUUUCGCUCGCUUUAAUGCAAUACCACAUUACGCUUCCCUCACGCUUAAGAUGCCCGGUCCACGUGGCAUCAUUACAGUAAAUGGAAAUAUUGAGCGAUCCCGGUGCGCCGAAGAGAGUGGCAGCCGCACACUAAAACGGCCUCACCAACUAAAGCAUUCGAUAGGUCGUCAAGACCACGGACAUGGUUAGACGAGUCCGGCACAACUAUAUGUAAUUCAUACAAGUUUGAUGGCCACACCCCGAUUACGAAUACAAGGGGCUCAACACGCGUAGACAAGUGGCAAUUUUUACUCAUCUUGAAUUGUAGAUGGUUUCUUUAAACCUACCUUUUUGCACGACAACUUUUCACCUAAGUUCCUCUCUUUUACAGAUGACCAUCGUGCUACACCCGUCCAGGAUACGGCACAAUGGAGACACAGGCACAGAUGUGCAGCAGGGACCCGUUCCAAGGAUUCUUUUUAGAUUAAGACCCUGCGUAAACCUUUCUUACUAUCUCUUGUUGAUACACAUCCCUCGGAUUCUUAGUACCAUUGAGAAGGAUGCUGACAUCUUGGCAUGUGGCCACGUUAGAAUAAUGCACGUACCUGGACACCAGGGGCUUCUUACAAAGGGCACUGUUUAGGCCCUGUUUAUACCAUAAAGACUGAAUACCUUAGGGAGUGUUCGGCGUCGCGAGCUUGGCCUUAUAUGCAUCAACUCCGAAUCAUGUCUUUGGUCAAAUGUUGGGUUUGCCCGGCUCCUGUGUUUUGCUGCCUUAUGUUCCGCUCUAUCGGCUAAGGCGGCACCAGGAGAACUACUCCGAUUGUGCCCCGGGUCAUCCGGACGAGCACCUUAGUAGAGAAAGCCGAAAACUGACUGUCAUGAUAUGGCAUGAGACUGGUCAACCACUCGAUGACCUAUCGGAAUGUUAGAAUUCCUCCGCCUUAACGAAGGGCCGUUUCCCGGUUAGGCAUGUACGCACCCCGAAUUCGGGAGAGUGUGGAGCCACCAGGGGCUAUAUAGUAGCCCCACUGUCAAACUCCUAUGGCUAAGUGAAAGUGUUAAAGAUUUAUAGUCCGGUUGCCUAGUUCACUGCGCCACCACCUCCUUAUUAGGACCAAGACGUUGUAUUAAGUGUGAAUACGCGUCUUCUGCGAACACCCCCGCAUUAUAUGCGUGGGGGCUGAAGCCGACGACUGCAAUCUUUCAGGUUAUAUACAUAUAUAUAUAAACGGCCGCACAGGAGGCUGUCGGAUUUCGGGUUCCGGCAGACCCUUGAGGUUCGAACACUGGUGUGCGCAUGGAGAUUUCGCCUCCUACCUACCUGCACCCCUCCGCCUUGCUAGGAUCUGAACUAAGGAAAGAACAACGCAAGAGACACAUGGUUUAUACUGGUUCGGGCCACCGUUGUGGUGUAAUACCCUACUCCAGUGUGUGGUGUGGUGGAUUGCUUCUUGGGCUGAUGAUGAUGAACAAUACAAGGAAGAACAGCCUCGCGAGGGUCUGUUCUUGGCUGGGGUGAUGAACUGCUGGGAGGAGCUUAGUUACCUUUCUCUCUCUCUUUCUCUUUCUGAUCUUCUCUCUCUCUCUCUUUCCCUACCUCUCCUUGCUCCGUCUCUCUGUACCCCCGUGUCUCUGUGGGUGGCUGGUCCUAUUUAUAGAGGCCCUGGUCCUCUUCCCAAAUAUCGAGCGGGAAGGGAGCCAACAAUGGCGGGCUAAUUUAAAGGGGGACAACUAGUAUCAACUAUCCUAACAAAAGUAGUCUUCGCCUGCGCAAAGCUCUGGUGACGACGCCGUUUUGGGCUCCACGGUGACCUCUAUCUCAUAGUCCUCCUAGUCUUGGUCUCGUUGCAUCGAAAUGGCAACCUUUGCCUGAUGCCUUGGUACUCCGUGGCUGCGCUUGCCCCCUUUGCACCAAAGAGGAAGGGGGGACGCUGCACGGGCUGGCACCCGCCUGGCGCCCCCGGUCGUCAUGGCCUGCAUCACGGGCACCUCGUGAGGUACCCCGCCUUGAUCUCUCCGCCUUCUCGUGAGCCAGCCUGACGAGGCCGCGCCCGAGGAAGCUCCGCGUCGUCCGCCCCGCGAGGCUUGGCCCCUCGCGAGGGUCUUGGGUUUGUGUUGGUGAAGAUGGGCCGCGCUGGGCCCCCCUUUGAGCCACGCCGCAGGCCGUAGGCAGGCAAGUCUGGGGACCCCUGUUCCCAGAACGCUGACAGUAGCCCCCGGGCCCAAGGCGCGCCCGGACUUGGCCGUGCAGGGAGGCGGAAGGGCAAGAGCAAAGCGUCGCGGGCCCUAACAGCCUGCGGCCUUGGGCGCCGCGUGGCGGUUGAUUGGACGUGGGCGUCUCCACUUCCCCAUGGCGCCUCGGCAACUGCAUGGAUUGGACAAGUCCCGGCGCGCGCCCUUCCAGUUCAUCCCUCCUUGCUCCUCCCUUUCUUCAUGGCCCCGUCAAGGAGGUUCUCGGCCGCAGAGAAGGGGAAGGCUCACCAGGUUGAGCCCGCCUCUACCCCACCCAAGCGCGGCCAAGGGCGCCCUCGUAAACAUCCUGUGGCCACCAUGGUGGCUCCCUGCGGCCGUGGAGGCAAACUUCAGCACAGCGACGGGCAGAUUACUGCGGCCGGGGGCAUGCUCCGGCUGCGCGUCCCCCUAGGCCGCGCUUUCGCACUGCUGAAGUGCUGCCGGAGUUCGUCGUGUGGUCGGCGGGGCCGACCAGCACUCGGCUUCCGCUUCCUCGCUUCCUCCUUGGCGAGCUCCUGGCCGGCGCCCCGGGCGGCCUCUGGCUUCAGGCCGACGGCUGCUGCAGCCGGGCCUCAUGGGUCUCACUGGAGGUCUCCGCGGCCGGGAGCCUGUUCUUGGCCCGCGGUUGGCAGACGUUUGCCCGCGCGCGUGGCCUGAGUCAUCGGUGCACCCUACACUUCAAGUUCGACGGCGAUGCCACCCUCUAUGUGAGGGUGUUUGGGGAAGAUGGUCGCCGCGCAGGGUGUUGCCCCGAGGGUGACGACCGUGGCUGGGAACCUAGCUCCAGCGAUGAUGGAGAGGGCAGCGCUCGCGCAACAGCGGCGCUCAGGGUUCCUCAAGCUUCCCCGGUUCUUCUUCAGGCGGCGACUCCUCUAGCGGUGGCCGCGGUCAGCCCCCGCGCCGCCGUAUCUGCUUGGGAGGUGGCAACGUGUCCGCCCGCUGUCGCGCCCUGGUGAAGCGCGAGAGGGAGUCCGCCUGAGCUCCGGAGGCAGCUCGGGCCUUCCCUGCGGGCCGGUGUGAGGCGAGCUGUACCAGAUUUGUUCUUUCUUUUUCCUUUUCCCUGCGUAACAAAGACAAUAGUGUGGAGCCCCGCGGGGGCGUGUUUGGGUUAUUGUUGUUAAUCAUUGUUUUGCUUUCGUUACCGUACCUUCCGGCUACGUGUCCGAGCGUGGAUAGUUUCCGGCCCCGGCCAUGGGGGGGCAACCAACCCAGGCCCUUUGUUUGUGUCGCGGUGCCCGUGGGGCACAGACUGGAGGGGUGCUCGUGUAAGGGGCCCAGCUCGCGAACUCUUUGAAUGACUAGGAUAGGAACACUCGCGAGGGCGCUCAGCUGCCCCCCUCGCGAGGCCUUGCACAAGAGAAAUCGAGGCAGGAGAGUGAAAAGUCGGAGAACCACAAGCCAAAGACGGCAACAACUUCAAUAAAACUUCGAAUGAGAAGGAACAAGCCAACUGCGGAAAGCAAAUGAAAAGCCGCGUCUGGCACCUAAUCUAGUCUUUGAUGUCUUCUCACCAGCGCGGAGCUAAGUGCUGCCACUGGGCGUGGGAGGGAGCCCCAGGGCCUGAGGCUGGCGCUCCUGAGACUCCAGGGCGUGUACAGCCCCAACUCAUUAUUACGUGAGAGUGUCACGGGCGGCGAGCUUCCCAGGCGUUGGCCUUCUUCACAGGCUUCAGGCCUUUUCCCAAACACGAUGGCUUCACAGGCAUUCACCUUAUUCACAGGCUCUGGGCCUUUUCCCAAACGCGAUAGCUUCACAGGCAUUCGCCUUCUUCACAGGCUCCGGGCUUUUUCCCAUAUGCGGUAGCUUCACAGGCAUUCGCCUUCUUCAUAGGCUCUGGGCCUUUUCCAACACGCGAUAGCUUCACAGGCAUUCGCCUUCUUCACAGGCUCUGGGCCUUUUCCAAAACGCGAUAGCUUCACAGGCAUUCGCCUUCUUCACAGGCUCUGGGCCUUUUCCGAAAUGCGAUAGCUUCAUAGGCAUUCGCCUUCUUCACAGGCUCCGGGCCUUUUUAGGGGUAGAACCUCCGGAGGUGCUGGAUGUUCCACGCAUUCUGGACUGGCACCCCCUCCUGAGUCUCCAAGCACGCGGAGCCGGGCCUGGAAACAUGAACAACUUUGAACGGGCCCUCCCACAUGGGAGAGAGCUUGUGCAGCCCCUCCCUGGAGAGGACCUGCCUGAGCACGAGGUCUCCUACCUCGAGAGUUCUGGGGCGGAUGUUGCGGCAGUGAUAUCGCCGCAGUGCUUGUUGGUAUCUCGCUGCUCAUAGCACGGCUUCUUGGCGACGUUCCUCCCCUAGCACGAGGUCCAUCCCCCGCAUGGCGUCCUGCUGCGCCUCGUCAAACGCCAGGACCCGCGCAGAGCGACAUCUGACCUCGUGAGGGAGGACCGCUUCGGCUCCGUAGACCAGGAAGAACGGGGUCUCUCCAGUCGGCUUGGUCACGGUUGUGCGGAUGGACCACAACACGGACCGAAGCUCGUCGUACCAACCUCUGCCGCAGGCCUCCAGCUUCUUCUUGAACGUCCUGGUCUUGAGGCCCCUCAGGACCUCCGCGUUGGCCCGCUCGGCCUGGCCGUUGCUUCGGGGGUGCGCCACCGAAGCGUAGCAUAUCUGCGUUCCAAGGUUAGCACAGUAUGUUUUGAAGAGGUUACUGGUGAACUGCGAACCGUUGUCCAUGAUGAUGCGAUUCGGCACCCCGAACCGGCUCACGAUGCCCUUGAUGAACUUGACCGCGGAACCCGCGGGAAUGGUGCAGACAGCCUCUACUUUAGCUCACUUGGUGAACUUGUCCACGGCGACAUAGAGGUAGCGGUAGCCCCCAGGCGCCCAAGGAAACGGGCCCAAGAUAUCCAGCCCCCAGACUGCGAAUGGCCAUGAAAGGGGUAUAGUCUGCAAGCCUCCUGCUGGCUGAUGGAUCUGCUUGGCGUGGAACUGGCAGGCCUCACAAGCUUUUACUAGUUCAACGGCGUCAUUGAGCGCGGUGGGCCAAUAAAACCCACUGCGGAACACCUUGCUGACGAGGGUCCGCGAUGAUGAAUGAUGUCCACAAUCUCCGCCGUGUAUAUCUUCUAGCAGUUCCUUCCCUUGCUCCCUGGAGAUGCAGCGCAGGGAUACAUCGUUUGGCCGCUUCCGGUAGAGCUCUCCAUCCUUGAUGCAGUAUGCCGUGGCCUGGCGUGCCACUCGCUCCGCUUCCUCCUCCUUCUCCGGCAGGGUCCCUUGCGUUAGGUAACUCCGGAGCUCCGCGAUCCAACAUCCCUCCUGAGGUUCCAUCGUCAGGAGCAGAUGUGCUCCUGAGGCCGGGCCACAGGCCGGAGCCCCUGAGGCAGGUGGCUGAGGGAGCUCCUCCCGGGGCUGAGCCGUGUUCGAUAAUGACGGCAGGGCUGAUGGCUUGAAGAGCCGUUCCUCGAAAACACCAGGCUCCUGAGGUAACCGCCUGGAUGCCCGUUUGGCGAUGUCGUCGGCCUCCUGAUUGGUGCCACGGGGCACAUGCUGCAACUCCAACCCCUAGAACUGCUUCUCCAUCUUGCGAACCUCCGCUAGGUAGGCUUCCAUGUGCUCAUCCUUCGGCUCGUACACUUUGUUGGAGAAAUUGACAAGGAGCUGCGAAUCGCCCUUGAUGGUGAGGCGUUUCACCCCCAGGGCAGCCGCGGCCUUCAAGCCCGCUAUUAAACCUUCAUACUCUGCUAUGUUGUUGGAGACAUUUUCACCUUGCUGGAAACAGAGCUGCAUGGCGUAAUAGAGCUUGUCCUGAGCGGGCGAUAUAAGCACCACCCCAGCCCCAGCGCCAUGCCUGGAGAACGCCCCAUCGAAGUACAUGACCUAGCCUUCUGGCGCCUCGCUUCCCGGGGACAGGGACCAAUCGUCGUCGGCCUUGAGGCCUGGCGCCUCCAUCCAUUCUGCCACAAAAUCCGCCAACGCUGCUCCCUUGAUGACUCUAGUCAUGCUGAAUUCGAGCUGAAACGCUUGCAGUUCUAUGUUCCACUCAGUGACCCUUCCAGCUAAAUUAGGGCUCCUGAGUACUCUCUCCAGGGGGUACGACGAGACGACCUUGAUGGGGUGACCCUGAAAAUAGUGCCGCAGCUUGCGCGAGGCCAUCAGUAGCGCGAGGAGGAGUUUCUGAGGCAUGGGGUACCGUGCCCUGGCAUCCCGCAGCACCGUGUUGACGAAGUACACCGGGUGCUCAACGAGGUGGAGUGCGUCAGUGCUGGUGGCUCCCUUCGGAGACCGUGGCGCCUCUUGAGGCAAUGAGGCCUCCUGAGGCUGGCCAUCUGGAAGAGGGGCCUCUUACGCCUCUGGUGCGCCCCUCUGGGGCGGCUGAUCCUCCUCAGCCGCGGUGGCGGUUUCUGUAGGCCUUCCUUGUCCCUGUUCUGCCUUGUCCCGGGCUGCUGCCGCGGUUUUGAUUCGGCGCUCCUCUCUGACUUCCACUAAGGCCGCGCUGGCGGAGUAAGGAGUGGCGGCGAGGUAAAGCACCAGGGGCUCUUGAGGGCGUGGAGCCACCAUGAUCGGUGGGCUGGUCAGGUAUCUCUUGAGAUCCUGGAACGCCUUGUUGGCCUCUUCAGUCCACUCGAAGGGCCCCUUUUUCUUCAUUAGCUGGAAGAAGGGCAGUGCUCGUUCCCCCAACUUGGAGAUGAAGCGCCCUAGUGCGGUCACGCGCCCCGUGAGCUUCUGCAUUUCUCUGAGGGUCUUUGGCGGGCUCAUGUCUUCCACCGCCUUGACCUUCUCCGGGUUAGCCUCGAUGCCUCGGUGGGACACGAGGAAACCCAAGAGCUUGCCCGAGGGGACUCCGAACACACACUUCUUUGGGUUGAGCCGUAUCUUUAGGUUGAGCCGUAUCUUUAGGUUCACUGCGUUGAGGCUCGCGAAGGUUUCCUCCAAGUCUUGUAUCAAGGUCUUGGCCUCCCGAGACUUUACCACAAUGUCAUUGACGUAAGCUUCAACAUUCUUCCCGAGCUGCGGGCCCAAGGUGAUGUGCAUCAGCCCCUGCGUUACGCAGCCCGAAUGGCAUGCAUGUGUAGUAGUACACCCCACACGGGGUUAGGAAGGCUGUCUUCUCGACGUCUUCUACCGCCAUCUUGAUCUGGUGAUACCCAGAGAAGGCAUCCAAGAAGCACAACAGGUCGCAUUCCGCAGUGGAAUCGACGAUCUGGUCGAUGCGGGGGAGCGGGAAGGGAUCUUGCGGGCAUGCUUUGUUGAGGUUGGUGAAGUCGACACACAUGCGCUCCUUCCCUCCCUUCUUUGGCACAACGACAGGGUUGGCCAACCAGUCCGGGUAUCGGACCUCGCGAAUGACCCCAGUGGCUUCUAAUUUGCGGGUCUCUUGGACGAUGAAGGCCUGCUUUUCUGUUGACUGUCGCCUGGCCUUCUGCUUCACAGGGCGCACGUUGAGGUGAUGCUCGAUUACACUCCUAGGGAUCCCUGCCAACUGGUCAGGCUCCCAAGCGAAUACCUUCUUGUUUGCACGCAGGAACCCGAUCAGGGCCUUCUCCUGCUCGGGUUUGAGGUGGGCGCCUAUGGUGAAAGUGGCGUUGGUGGAUCCGUCCUCAUCGACUGGUAUCUGCUUGGUUUCUGCCUUGUCUUGGGUGAACAACUAUUUCUUCUUGGCGGGUGCAGCCCCCUUGGGCCCCAGGGUCUCCAAGUUGGUGGGCUGUGCCGCCGCCGCCGUCUUGAAGGCGAGCUUGAGCACCCGCAGCACGUCCCCGGUGUCCCCGUGCACAUUGAGGACACCGCUACUCCCGGGCAUCUUCAUGAGGUUGUACGCUGGGUGCAUCGCGGCCAUGAACUGGGCCAGCGCUGGGUAGCCGAGGAUGGCGUUGUAGGGGAGGCCGAUGGGGGUGAUGUCGAAGUCAACCAGCUCCGUGCGGAAGUUGUCGUAGGUGCCGAAGGUUACUGGGAGCCGGAUUUGUCCCAAGGAGCUGGACGACUCGCCCCCUACGCCUGAGAAGGGCCGGCUGGGUUGCAGCCGUUCCAGGGGUAUGCAGAGGAGGUUGAAGGCCUCGACCGAGAGCAUGCUGAGGCCCGCGCCGCCAUCAAUGAGGGUUCUGGUGACGGCCACCUGGCAUAUGGUGGGGGUGCACAGCAUGGGGAGCGCACCCGAGCAGGCCGAGUUGGAGGGGUGGUCCUCCGAGCUGAAGGUCAGGCCGGUCUCGGGCGCCGCCCGGUCCAGGGGAGCCCCCUGCCGCGUGGAAGCGGUGCUGACCCGGUGGAUGAACGGCUUGACAUGGUGACUUGCAGGCGGCGCCUGCGAGCCGCCCAAGAGGGCCGCGACGACCGGGGGUGUUGGUGCAGCGCGAUGGGCGGGGGAGAGGUUGCGGGGCUCCAUGGGCGUGCGGAGCGCGCGGGACGAAGAACCAGCUGGGGGGAGCGAGGGAGUUGCGGUGCGGCCGUCUUGCCGCACGGACGGAUGCUGGGACGAUGCUCACUGCUCGUCCCCCGCCGGGCCGGUGGCGGCGUUGACGACAGGCGACGGGGAACGGCAAGGACGCCCGCCGACAGGGGCCGUCUGGGCGACGCGGGAAGCGAGCACGGCCCGGCGCUCGGCGCGGGCCCGAUGAGCGUCAGACAUGGGUGUGAUGGUCGGAGGAGAAUGGGGUGGUGGAAGACGAAUCCCUGCAUACCCCUACCUGGCGCGCCAAAUGUCGGAUUUCAGGUUCCGGCAGACCCUUGAGGUUCGAACACUGGGGUGCGCGUGGAGAUUUCGCCUCCUACCUACCUGCACCCCUCCGCCUUGCUAGGAUCUGAACUAAGGAAAGAACAACGCAAGAGACACAAGGUUUAUACUGGUUCGGCCACUGUUGUGGUGUAAUACCCUACUCCAGUGUGUGGUUUGGUGGAUUGCCUCUUGGGCUGAUGAUGAUGAACAAUACAAGGAAGAACAGCCUCGCGAGGGUCUGUUCUUGGCUGGGGUGAUGAACUGCUGGGAGGAGCUCAGUCACCUUUCUCUCUCUCUCUCUCUCUCUCUCUCUCUCUUUUUUUUUCUGAUCUUCUCUUUCUCUCUCUUGCCCUACCUCUCCUUGCUCCGUCUCUCUGUCCCCCCGUGUCUCUGUGGGUGGCUGGUCCUAUUUAUAGAGGCCAUGGUCCUCUUCCCAAAUAUCGAGCGGGAAGGGAGCCAACAAUGGCGGGCUAAUUUGAAGGGGGGCAGUUUGUAUCAACUAUCCUGACAAAAGUAGUCUUUGCCUGCGCAAAGCUCUGGUGACGACGCCGUUUUGGGCUCCAUGGUGACCUCUGUCUCGUAGUCCUCCUGGUCUUGGUCUCGUUGCACUGAAAUGGCAACCUUUGCCUGAUGCCUCGGUACUCCGCGGCUGCGCUUGCCCCCUUUGCACCAAAGAGGAAGGGGGACGCUGCGCGGGCUGGCACCCGCCUGGCGCCCCCGGUCGUCAUGGCUUGUGUCACGGGCACCUCGUGAGGUACCCCGCCUUGAUCUCUCCGCCUCCUCGUGAGCCAGCCUGACGAGGCCGUGCCUGAGGAAGCUCCGCGUCAUCCGCCCCGCGAGGCUUGGCCCCUCGCGAGGGUCUUGGGUUUGUGUUGGUGAAGAUGGGCCGCGCUGGGCCCCCCUUUGAGCCACGCCGCAGGCCGCAGGCAGGCAAGUCUGGGGACCCCCGUUCCCAGAACGCUGACAGAGGCAUCAUAUUACUUUCAGGCAAAUGUAUAAAUAUAGCCUUAAUAAAUUUCAUAAACAUUGUUUCUACAAUAGGAAUACAUGUCACUCAAACAUAAUAUUCUUCGAGCACUGGGCCUCUAUCAAACGAGCACCCUCAAGGACUUCUUCAAAAUAGUGCUCGGCAGCCACUCGGCCUAUGGCCGAACCCUGCGCCGCAACAGUGGUAGCAUCCAUCUCUGCCCAGUAUGCUUUGACACGGGCAAGGGCCAUCCGCGAGCCUUCUAUGCAUGCCGACCUCUUCAUCGCAUUGAUGCGCGGCACCGCACCAAGGAACUGCUGCACUAAGCUGAAAUAGCUGUUCGACUUCGGCUUUUCCGGCCACAGAUGAUCUACGACGGACCUCAUGGCAAGUCCGGACAAUCUAUUGAGUUCGGCCCAUUCGGCAAGCUGAUCAGUCAACGGAAGCGGACGCUCUGGAACGUUAAACUGCGACCAGAAUAGCUUGUCCACUUCACGAUCUGUUUGAUCUCGGAAGUAUUCGGCCGCAUCGACAGCGCUCGCCGCCAAGUCCAUAUAUGCGUCUGCCGAACUCCACAGCCGAUCCAGAGGGGCAUACUGCGGAUCUCCGAACUUCCUCCGCAGCAUAAAGGGCUUCCCAGCUGCAAUAUCCCCGGCUUCACGCAGUUCCUCCUUCUUCGCUCUCAUGGCAGAGCGGGUGUCCUUGGUUGCCAUUGUGGCCUUCUCGAGGUCCGUCGCCCUCGCCUGGUUUUCUUCUUCAAGGAACUGGCAACGGUCGGCAGUGUCUUUUAACUUUACAGCCAUCUUGGCCAUUUUAUCUUUGCUCUCACAAUGUGCAGCCUUUUCGGCUCUUAACUCUUCGGCCGCCUUUAAAGCGGCCGCAUUACUAAUCCUUGCUUGUUCUUUGGCUCGGGCAAGCUCCGCCCGAAGGGUCUCCACGGUGGCAGCUCCAUCUACAGUCACAACAUAUUAAAGAUACUGGCAUUACGCUGCUCUUACUAUGUGACAUUCACCAGAAAAUAUCACUUACCCUGUGCCUCGUCAAGCCACUUAUUAACAAGCUCGAUGUUGGCAUCCGCCGCAUCCAGUUGCCGCUUUAGUUUGGCAAUCUCAUGAGUCCGACCAGCCACCGGAGCUCCAUCCAUCUGCACAUAAAGGCGGUUUGGUUAUUACCUGGGACUACGAUCCUCUGUUCGCCGCCGUUCUCGACGACAACCAGAGUCUCAGGGGCUACUAUCUACACAGGGCACACCUAAAAAUGUGCGGUACAAUCACAAAGUAUAUCAUUUCAUGUACCUCAAAGCCCGUCAAUAGACUCAUAAAGGCCUCAUGCAAUCCGCUUUCGGCGGACGAAAUUCUUUUCAUCACCGUACCCAUCAACAUACGGUGUUCUUCUGAGAUGGCCACUCACUCCAACAGCUCCCUCAGUACGUCCGACCGCAUACCAGACGGUGCCGGACUCUUCUGUUUGCUCUCUUCAAGAGCCGGAUACUGGGGACUUCGGGUGACCAUAGGAUUAUCUUCUGGCCUCACCGGAUCUGGGGAGGCCCUCCGAUACGACACUUCAAGGUCGCCCGCUUCUUGAGCGGAGGAGUCCGGGGGAGGUGUUUCGCUCUCCAUCAUCUCUGGAAGAAGAUCCCCCGAAGAGGAGCUUUGCUGAGAAGGGCUGAGAUCCGAACUGCAAGAUAAAUGCUUCGGUUAUUUUCCUUGGAAGAAAGGUAGAAUAUCUUUACUAUCAAGUAUUUUUCGAUAACUUACAGCUUGUUAGAGGGAUGAUCUCCGCACGGACUUUGUGUGGCAAGAGCACCCUCCGGGGCCGGACCCUCUGGUGGAGAUUUCUUCUCCCGUUUGGAAGCCUUGGCUUUCUGAUCUUCAGAGGCGGUCCUCUUCCUUCCCCGGGGCAAGAGAAUGUCGGAUUCUUCCCCUUUGUUAUCCUCCCUCGCGAAGGCGCUCAUUCCCUCGGUUGGAAUUGGUAGCGAUGGGGGCCCGCUUUCGCCCUCAUUAUUCCCCCCUUUAUCUUCCUUUGAGGGCUCCGGGCAAGGUGCUGGCUCGAGCAUCUUCUCCAGUACCGGAUUGUCCAAACCCUCAGGAAGGGGGGCCGAACACUGAAUCUUCUUUGCCUUUGUUAGCCAGUCCUGGUCAAAGAGCGAUUUCUCAGAAUGACAUCAUGAUAAAUGAAAGACGGUGUGUUCGGCUAGAGGAUUACUUACUUGGUCGGCGGUGCGGUUGUUGCUCAGGCCCACGUCCUCGAUAGUAUCCGGACACUCUAUUUGGGGUCCGAAGAAUGAUUUAUACAUCUCCUCGUGCGUCAGGCCGAGGAAAUUCUGAAUAGUGCGCGGCCCUUCUGGGUUGAACUCCCACGUGCGGAGGGGCCGGCGUUUGCAAGGCUGGACUCGAGGAACCACCAUGACUUGCACCACCAUAACCAGACUGAAAUCUCCUUCGAAGAGAUCUUGAAUGCGGCUCUGCAGUGUAGGCACGUCCUUGGCUGGACCCCAGCUCAGCCCUCUGCUAAUCCAUGACAUCAGUUGUGGUGGAGGGCCCGAGCGGAAAGCAGGGGCAGCCACCCACUUGGCACUUCUGGGAGCUGUGAUGUAAAACCACUCCCAUUGCCAUAAUCCGGACACCUCUGAAAAGGAACCCUUUGGCCACGGAGCUGCAGCGAUCUUGCUUAUUAAUGUGCCUCCGCACGCUACAUGCUGCUCCUCGACCAUCUUCGGCUUCACGUCAAAGGUCUUGAGCCACAGGCCGAAGUGAGGGGUAAUGCGGAGGAAGGCCUCACAUACGACAAUAAAUGCCGAGAUUGAAGGAAAUAUGCCCUAGAGGCAAUAAUAAAGUUAUUAUUUAUUUCCUUAUAUCAUGAUAAAUGUUUAUUAUUCAUGCUAGAAUUGUAUUAACCGGAAACACAAUACAUGUGUGAAUACAUAGACAAACAGAGUGUCACUAAUAUGCCUCUACUUGACUAGCUUGUUGAUCAAAGAUGGUUAUGUUUCCUAACCAUAGACAUGAGUUGUCAUUUGAUUAACGGGAUCACAUCAUUAGGAGAAUGAUGUGAUUGACUUGACCCAUUCCGUUAGCUUAGCACUUGAUCGUUUAGUUUGUUGCUAUUGCUUUCUUCAUGACUUAUACAUGUUCCUAUGACUAUGAGCUUAUGCAACUCCCGUUUACCGGAGGAACACUUUGUGUGCUACCAAACGUCACAAUGUAACUGGGUGAUUAUAAAGGUGCUCUACAGGUGUCUCCGAAGGUACUUGUUGGGUUGGCGUAUUUCGAGAUUAGGAUUUGUCACUCUGAUUGUCGGAGAGGUAUCUCUGGGCCCUCUCGGUAAUGCACAUCACCUAAGCCUUGCAAGCAUUGCAACUAAUGAGUUAGUUGCGGGAUGAUGUAUUACGGAACGAGUAAAGAGACUUGCUGGUAACGAGAUUGAACUAGGUAUUGAGAUGCCGACGAUAGAAUCUCGGGCAAGUAACAUACCGAUGACAAAGGGAACAACGUAUGUUGUUAUGCGGUCUGACCGAUAAAGAUCUUCGUAGAAUAUGUAGGAGCCAAUAUGAGCAUCCAGGUUCCGCUAUUGGUUAUUGACCGGAAACGUGUCUCGGUCAUGUCUACAUAGUUCUCGAACCCAUAGGGUCCGCACGCUUAACGCUACGAUGAUAGUUAUAUUAUGAGUUUAUAUGUUUUGAUGUACCGAAGGAGUUCGGAGUCCCGGAUGAGAUCGGGGACAUACAAGGAGUCUCGAAAUGGUCGAGAUGUAAAGAUCGAUAUAUUGGACGACUAUAUUCGGACUUCGGAAAGGUUCCGAGUGAUUCGGGUAUUUUUCGGAGUACCGGAGAGUUAGGGGAAUUCGCCGGGGAGUAUAUGGGCCUUAUUGGGCCAUACGGGAAUAGAGGAGAUAGGCCAAAAGGAAGGAGGCCUGCGCCCCCCCUCUGGUCCAAAUUGGACAAGGGGUGCAGCCCCCUUUUCCUUCUCCCUCUCCUCCUCUUUCCUUCACUCCUACUCCAACAAGGAAAGGAGGAGUCCUACUCCCGGUGGGAGUAGGACUCCCCCCUUGCCGCGCCCUCCUCCUAGGCCGGCCACCUCCCCCCUUGCUCCUUUAUAUACAGGGGCAGGGGGCACCUCUAGACACACAAGUUGAUCAAGUUGAUCGUCUCUUAGCCAUGUGCGGUGCCCCCCUCCACCAUAGUCCACCUCGAUAAUACCGUAGCGGUGCUUAGGCGAAGCCCUGCGUCGGUAGAACAUCAACAUCGUCACCACGCCGCCGUGAUGACGAAACUCUCCCUCAACACUCGACUGGAUCGGAGUUCGAGGGACGUCAUCAGGAUGAACGUGUGCUGAACUCGGAGGUGCCGUACGUUCGGUACUUGAUCGGUCAGAUCAUGAAGAUGUACGACUACAUCAACCGCGUUGUGCUAACGCUUCCGCUUUCGGUCUACGAGGGUACAUAGACAUUACUCUCCCCUAUCAUUGCUAUGCAUCACCAUGAUCUUCCGUGUGCGUAGGAAAAUUUUGAAAUUUCUACGUUCCCCAACAGUGGCAUCUGAGCCAGGUUUUAUGCGUUGAUGUUAUAUGCACGAGUAGAACACAAGUGAGUUGUGGGUGAUAUAAGUCAUACUGCUUACCAGCAUGUCAUACUUUGGUUCGGCGGUAUUGUUGGAUGUAGCGGCCCGGACCGACAUUACGCGUACGCUUACGCGGGACUGGUUCUACCGACGUGCUUUGCACACAGGUGGCUGGCGGGUGUCAGUUUCUCCAACUUUAGUUGAACCGAGUGUGGCUACUCCCGGUCCUUGCGAAGGUUAAAACAACACCAACUUGACAAACUAUCGUUGUGGUUUUUGAUGCGUAGGUAAGAACGGUUCUUGCUAAAGCCCGUAGCAGCCACGUAAAACUUGCAACAACAAAGUAGAGGACGUCUAACUUGUUUUUGCAGGGCAUGUUGUGAUGUGAUAUGGUCAAGACAUGAUGCUAAAUUUUAUUGUAUGAGAUGAUCACGUUUUGUAACCGAGUUAUUUGCAACUGGCAGGAGCCAUAUGGUUGUCUCUUUAUUGUAUGCAAUGCAAUUGCGCUGUAAUGCUUUACUUUAUCACUAAGCGGUAGCGAUAGUCGUGGAAGCAUAAGAUUGGCGAGACGACAAUGAUGCUACGAUGGUAAUCAAGGUGUCGUGCUGGUGACGAUGGUGAUCAUGACGGUGCUUCGGAGAUGGAGAUCACAAGCACAAAAUGAUGAUGGCCAUAUCAUAUCACUUAUAUUGAUUGCAUGUGAUGUUUAUCUUUUAUGCAUCUUAUCUUGCUUUGAUUGACGGUAGCAUUAUAAGAUGAUCUCUCACUAAAUUUCAAGAUAAAAGUGUUCUCCCUAAGUAUGCACCGUUGCCAAAGUUCAUCGUGCCCAGACACCACGUGAUGAUCGGGUGUGAUAAGCUCUACGUCCAUCUACAAUGGGUGCAAGCCAGUUUUGCACACGCAGAAUACUCAGGUUAAACUUGACGAGCCUAGCAUAUGCGGAUAUGGCCUCGGAACACUGAGACCGAAAGGUCGAGCGUGAAUCAUAUAGUAGAUAUGAUCAACAUAAUGAUGUCACCAUUGAAAGCUACUCCAUUUCACGUGAUGAUCGGUUAUGGUUUAGUUGAUUUGGAUCACGUGAUCACUUAGAUGAUUAGAGGGAUGUCUAUCUAAGUGGGAGUUCUUAAGUAAUGUGAUUAAUUGAACUUUAAUUUAUGAUGAACUUAGUCCUGGUAGUAUUAGCAUAUCUAUGUUGCAGAUCAACAGCUCGUGAUGUUGCUCCCCGUUUAAUUUUUAUAUGUUCCUAGAGAAAACUAAUUUGAAAAAUGUUAGUAGCAAUGAUGCGGAUUGGAUCCGUGAUCUGAGGAUUACCCUCAUUGCUGCACAGAAGAAUUAUGUCCUUGAUGCACCGCUAGGUGACUGACCUAUUGCAGGAGCAGAUGAAGACGUUAUGAACGUUUGGCUAGCUCAAUGUGAUGACUACUUGAUAGUUUAGUGCACCAUGCUUAACAGCUUAGAAUCGGGACUUCAAAGACGUUUUGAACGUCAUGGAUCAUAUGAGAUGUUCCAGGAGUUGAAGUUAAUAUUUCAAGCAAAUACCCGAGUUGAGAGAUAUGAAGUCUCCAAGAAGUUCUAUAGCUAAAAGAUGGAGGAGAAUAGCUCAAGCAGUGAGCAUGUGCUCAGAUUGUCUGGGUACUACAAUCGCUUGAAUCAAGUGGGAGUUAAUCUUACAGAUAAAAUAGUGAUUGACAGAAUUCUCUAGUCACCAUCACCAAGUUACUAGAACUUCGUGAUGAACUAUAAUAUGCAAGGGAUAACGGAAACGAUUCCCAAGCUCUUCGUGAUACUAAAAUCAACGAAGGUAGAAAUCAAGAAAAACAUCAAGUGUUGAUGGUUGACAAGACCACUAGUUUCAAGAAAAGGGGCAAAGGAAAGAAGGGGAACUUCAAGAAGAAUGGCAAGCAAGUUGCUGCUCAAGUGAAGAAGCCCAAGUCUGGACCUAAGCCUGAGACUAAGUGCUUCUACUGCAAAGGGACUGGUCACUAUAAGCGGAACUACCCCAAGUAAUUGGCGGAUAAGAAGGAUGGCAAAGUGAACAUAGGUAUAUUUGAUAUACAUGUUAUUGAUGUGUACUUUACUAGUGUUUAUAGCAACCCCUCAGUAUUUGAUACUAGUUCAGUUGCUAAGUAUAGUAACUCGAAACAGGAGUUGCAGAAUGAACAGAGACUAGUUAAGGGUGAAGUGACGAUGUGUAUCGGAAAUGGUUCCAAGAUUGAUAUGAUCAUCAUCGCACACUCCCUAUACUUUCGGGAUUAGUGUUAAACCUAAAAUAAAUGUUAUUUAGUGUUUGCGUUGAGCAUGAAUAUGAUUGGAUCAUGUUUUAUGGCAAUACGGUUAUUCAUGUAAGUUAGAGAAUAAUUGUUGUUCUGUUUACAUGAAUAAAACCUUCUAUGGUCAUACACCCAAUGAUAAUGGUUUGUUGGAUCUCGAUUGUGGUGAUACACAUUCUCAUAAUAUUGAAGCCAAAAGAUGCAAAGUUAAUAAGGAUAGUGCAACUUAUUUGUGGCACUGCCGUUUAGGUCAUAUUGGUGUAAAGCGCAUGAAGAAACUCCAUACUGAUGGACUUUUGGAAUCACUUGAUUAUGAAUCACUUGGUACUUGCGAACCGUGCCUCAUGGGCAAGAUGACUAAAACACCGUUCUCCGGUACUAUGGAUAGAGCAACGGAUUUGUUGGAAAUCAUACAUACAGAUGUAUGUGGUCCGAUGAAUAUUGAGGCUCGUGGCGGAUAUCGUUAUUUUCUCACCUUCACAGAUGAUUUAAGCAGAUAUGGGUAUAUCUACUUGAUGAAACAUAAGUCUGAAACAUUUGAAAAGUUCAAAAACUUCAGAGUGAAGUGGAAAAUCAUCGUGACAAGAAAAUAAAGUUUCUACGAUCCGAUCGCAGAGACAAAUAUUUGAGUUACGAGUUUGGUCUUCAAUUAAAACAAUGUGGAAUAGUUUCACAAAAUCGUGCUACCUGGAACACCACAACAUAAUGGUGUGUCCGAACGUCAUUACCGUACUAUUAUUGGAUAUAGUGCAAUCAAUGAUGUUUCUUACCGAUUAACCACUAUAGUUUUGAGGUUAUGCAUUAGAGACAAUUACAUUCACGUUAAAUAGGGCACCAUCUAAAUCCGUUGAGACGACACCGUAUGAACUAUGGUUUGGCAAGAAACCUAAGUUGUCGUUUCUUAAAGUUUGAGGUUGCAAUGCUUAUGUGAAAAAGUUUCAACCUGAUAAGCUCAAACCCAAAUCGGAGAAGUGCGUCUUCAUAGGAUACCCAAAAGAAAAUGUUGGGUACGCCUUCUAUCACAGAUCCGAAGGCAAGAUAUUCAUUGCUGAGAAUGGAUCCUUUCUAGAGAAGGAGUUUCUCUCGAAAGAAGUGAGUGGGAGAAAAGUAGAACUUGAUGAGGUAACUGUACCUGCUCCCUUAUUGGAAAGUAGUUCAUCACAGAAAUCUGUUCCUGUGACUACUACACCAAUUAGUGAGGAAGCUAUGAUGAUGAUCAUGUAACUUCAGAUCAAGUUACUACCGAACCUCGUAGGUAAACCAGAGUGAGAUCCGCACCAGAGUGGUAUGGUAAUCCUGUUCUGGAGGUCAUGUUACUUGACCAUAACGAACCUACGAACUAUGAGGAAGCGAUGAUGAGCCCAGAUUCCGUGAAAUGGCUUGAGGCCAUGAAAUCUGAGAUGAGAUCCAUGUAUAAGAACAAAGUAUGGACUUUGAUUGACUUGCCCAUUGAUCGGCGAGCCAUUGAGAUUAAAUGGAUCUUCAAGAGGAAGAUGGACACUGAUAGUAGUGUUACUAUCUACAAAGCUAGAAUUGUCGCAAAAAGGUUUUCGACAAGUUUAAGGUGUUGACUACGAUGAGAGUUUCUCACUCGUAUCUAUGCUUAAGUUUGUCUGAAUCAUGUUAGCAAUUGCCGCAUUUUAUGAAAUCUGGCAAAUGGAUAAACAAAACUGCAUUCCUUAAUGGAUUUAUUAAAGAAGAGUUGUAUAUGAUGCAACCAGAAGGUUUUGUCAAUCCUAAUGGUACUAACAAAAUAUGCAAGCUCCAGCGAUCCAUCUAUGGACUAGUGCAAGCAUCUCGGAGUUGGAAUAUACGCUUUGAUAAGUUGAUCAAAGCAUAUAGUUUUAUACAGACUUGCGGUGAAGCCUCUAUUUACAAGAAAGUGAGUGGGAGCACUACAACAUUUCUGAUAAGUAUAUGUGAAUGACAUAUGGUUGAUCGGAGAUAAUGUAGAAUUAUUCUGCAAAGCAUAAAGGAAUGUUUGAAAGGAGUUUUUAAAAGGAAGACCUCGGUGAAGCUGCUUACAUAUUGAGCACCAAGAUCUAUAGAGAUAGAUCAAGAUGCUUGAUAAGUUUUUCAAUGAGUACAUACCUUGACAAGAUUUUGAAAUAGUUCAAAAUGGAACAGUCAAGGAAGGAGUUCUUGCCUGUGUUACAAGGUGUGAAGUUGAGUAAGACUCAAAACCCGACCACGACAGAAGAUAGAAAGAGAAUGAAAGUCAUUCCCUAUGCCUCAGCCAUAGGUUCUAUAAAGUAUGCCAUGCUGUGUACCAGACCUAUUGUAUACCCUGCCCUGAGUUUGGCAAGGGAGUACAAUAGUGAUCUAGGAGUAGAUCACUAGACAUUGGUCAAAAUUAUCCUUAGUGGAGUAAGGAUAUGUUUCUUGAUUAUGGAGGUGACAAAAGUUUCGUCGUAAAGGGUUACAUCAAUGCAAGUUUUGACACGGAUACAGAUGACUCUAAGUCUCAAUCUGGAUACAUAUUGAAAGUGGGAGCAUUUAGCUAGAGUAGCUUCGUGCAGAGCAUUGUUGACAUAGAAAUUUGCAAAAUACGUACGGAUCUGAAUGUGGCAGACCCGUUGACUAAACUUCCCUCACAAGCAAAACAUGAUCACACCUUAGUACUCUUUGGGUAUUAAUCACAUAGCGAUGUGAACUAGAUUAUUGACUCUAGUAAACCCUUUGAGUGUUGGUCACAUGACGAUGUGAACUAUGGGUGUUAAUCACAUGGUGAUGUGAACUAUUGAUGUUAAAUCACAUGGCGAUGUGAACUAGAUUAUUGACUCUAGUGCAAGUGGGAGACUGAAGGAAAUAUGCCCUAGAGGCAAUAAUAAAGUUAUUAUUUAUUUCCUUAUAUCAUGAUAAAUGUUUAUUAUUCAUGCUAGAAUUGUAUUAACCGGAAACACAAUACAUGUGUGAAUACAUAGACAAACAGAGUGUCACUAGUAUGCCUCUACUUGACUAGCUCAUUGAUCAAAGAUGGUUAUGUUUCCUAACCAUAUACAUGAGUUGUCAUUUGAUUAACGGGAUCACAUCUUAGGAGAAUGAUGUGAUUGACUUGACCCAUUCCAUUAGCUUAGCACUUGAUCGUUUAGUUUGUUGCUAUUGCUUUCUUCAUGACUUAUACAUGUUCCUAUGACUAUGAGAUUAUGCAACUCUCGUUUACCGGAGGAACACUUUGUGUGCUACCAAACGUCACAACAUAACUGGGUGAUUAUAAAGGUGCUCUACAGGUGUCUCCGAAGGUACUUGUUGGGUUGGCGUAUUUCGAGAUUAGGAUUUGUCAUUCCGAUUGUCGAAGAGGUAUCUCUGGGCCCUCUCGGUAAUGCACAUCACCUAAGCCUUGCAAGCAUUGCAACUAGGGCCAAUUCCAUUUCCCCCCCUAACUUUGUCCCGAACUCAUCUUUACCCCUAAAUAAAAACAGUGCUCAACUUUGCCCCUCUUCCAUUAGGCGCGCUUAUAGGAAUGCCCUUCCGUACAUUUUCCGUCCAGUCAAAGGCCUUUAACCGUUAGAUUUUUCUACACAUGGACUUAACGGUAAAAGGCCUUUGACUAGACGGAAAAUGUACCGAAGGGUAUUUCUAUAAACGCACUUAACGGAAGAGGGGUAAAGUUGAGCACUGUUUUUAUUUAGGGGUAAAGAUGAGGUCUGGACAAAGUUAGGGAAAAAUGUAAAUCUCCCUUGCAACUAAUGAGUUAGUUGCGGGAUGAUGUAUUACGGAAUGAGUAAAGAGACUUGCUGGUAACGAGAUUGAACUAGGUAUUGAGAUGCCGACGAUCGAAUCUCGGGCAAGUAACAUACCGAUGACAAACGGAACAACGUAUGUUGUUAUGCGGUCUGAUCGAUAAAGAUCUUCGUAGAAUAUGUAGGAGCCAAUAUGAGCAUCCAGGUUCCGCUAUUAGUUAUUGACCGGAGACGUGUCUCGGUCAUGUCUACAUAGUUCUCGAACCCAUAGGGUCCGCACGCUUAACGCUACGAUGACAAUUAUAUUAUGAGUUUAUAUGUUUUGAUGUACUGAAGGAGUUCGGAGUCCCGGAUGAGAUCGGGGACAUGACAAGGAGUCUCGAAAUGGUCAAGACGUAAAGAUCGAUAUAUUGGAUGACUAUAUUCGGACUUCGGAAAGGUUCCGAGUGAUUCGGGUAUUUUUCGGAGUACCGGAGAGUUAGGGGAAUUCGCCGAGGAGUAUAUGGGCCUUAUUGGGCCAUACGGGAAUAGAGGAGAUAGGCCAAAAGGAAGGAGGCCUGCGCCCCCCUCUGGUCCGAAUUGGACAAGGGGUGCAGCCCCCUUUUCCUUCUCCCUCUCCUCCUCUUUCCUUCACUCCUACUCCAACAAGGAAAGGAGGAGUCCUACUCCCGGUGGGAGUAGGACUCCCCCCUUGGUGCGCCCUCCUCCUAGGCCGGCUGCCUCCCCCCUUGCUCCUUUAUAUACAGGGGCAGGGGGAACCUCUAGACACACAAGUUGAUCAAGUUGAUCGUCUCUUAGCCAUGUGCGGUGCCCCCCUCCACCAUAGUCCACCUCGAUAAUACUGUAGUGGUGCUUAGGCGAAGCCCUGCGUCGGUAGAACAUCAACAUCGUCACCACGCCAUCGUGCUGACGAAACUCUCCCUCAACACUCGGCUGGAUCGGAGUUCGAGGGACAUCAUCAGGCUGAACGUGUGCUGAACUCGGAGGUGCCAUACGUUUGGUACUUGAUCAGUCGGAUCGUGAAGACGUACGACUACAUCAACCGCGUUGUGCUAACGCUUCCGCUUUCGGUCUACGAGGGUACGUAGACAUUACUCUCCCCUCUCGUUGCUAUGCAUCACCAUGAUCUUGCGUGUGCGUAGGAAAUUUUUGAAAUUACUACGUUCCCUAACAGAGAUGUGGAGAAAGGAGUUCGGGGCUAGAUCGUGGAAAUCUAGCCCGUAAUAGAACAUCAAACCGCUAACGAAGGGAUCCAGAGUGAGGCCUAGACCUCGAAGGAAGUGGGAGAUGAACACAAUGUUCUUGUUGGGUUCGGGAGUAGGGACGACCUGCCCUCGAGCAGGCAGCCGAUGCGAAACCUCGGUGGUCAGGUAUCUGGCCUCCCUCAACUUCUUGAUAUCCUCUUCCGUAACGAAGGAGGGCAUCCACCGGCCUUGAAGGCUAGAUCCGGACAUGAUUGAAGGUCCAAAGCACCUGAACUGGGCUUUGGGUGUUAGAACUCGAGGCGGGGGAAGGAUUUGAUUGAGCACGGGAGGGAAAAAAGUAAAAGCCUUGUCUCUUUAUAAAGAGGGUGAAUAUCAAGCGUCCUCCCAGUGGCCGUUUGGGACUUGCUUAAAAUCUAGGAGUCCUAGGCAUGGUUGAGUUACCCACAACCGUAUUGAUGAGAAUCCCGUAAUUAGGGGAACACAAUCUCUGCUUUGACAAGACGUGUCAAGAAACCACCUCGCGUUAUGUGUGGAGCUGGUUGAAGAAACACGGUUCGAAUAAUCACCGGGCAUGGCUUAAUGUCAUGUUGCCAAAACAAGUUAGCAAAUUAGAUUUGUGGAAAUAUUAUUCUCUCUACGGUGGUAUGUGGAACUUAUUUUGCGGGGUCGGACACUAUCCUUGUAUUCAAAAUUUUCCGUGGUAUAUUCGGAGGAGGAACCCGCCUUGCAAUGCCGAAGACAAUACUGUGCGCCGGACUCAUCGUCAUUGAAGCCUGGUUCAGGGGCUACUGAGGGAGUCCUGGAUUAGGGGGUCCCCGGACAGCCGGAUUAUAUCCUUUGGCUGGACUGUUGGACUAUGAAGAUACAAGAUUGAAGACUUCGUUUCGUGUCCGGAUGGGACUCUACUUGGCGUGGAAGGCAAGCUAGGCAGUACUGAUAUGGAUAUCUCCUCCUUUGUAACCGACCUUGUGUAACCCUAGCCCCCUCCGGUGUCUAUAUAAACCGGAGGGUUUUAGUCCGUAGGACAAUAUACAAUCAUACCAUAGGCUAGCUUCUAGGGUUCAGCCUCUCCGAUCUCGUGGUAGAUCAACUAUUGUAAUACUCAUAUCAUCAAGAAUAAAUCAAGCAGGACGUAGGGUUUUACCUCCAUCAAGAGGGCCCGAACCUGGGUAAAACAUCGUGUCCCCUGCCUCCUGUUACCAUCCGCCUUAGACGCACAGUUCGGGACCCCCUACCCGAGAUCUGCCGGUUUUGACACCGACACUUAGUGUAGAAUUUGAUGAUAUUCUUAGUGUAGUAAUGUGAUGAUAUAUGCUUGGAGUAGAAUUUGAUGAUAUGCUCAAUUAGUGUAGUAAUGUGUGAUGCAUCAUAUGCUUAUUAGUGUGUAGUAAUGUUAUGAUAUGCUUAGUGUAGAAUUUGAUGAUAUACUUAGUGUAGUAAUAUGAUAUGCUUAGUAAUGUGAUAUGCGUUUAGUGUAGUAAUGUGACAUGCUCAUUUAUCAUAUAUGUUUUUUCUAGAAAUUACCUAAGAGACUAAGCUCGUGCUGUGGCAUCGAGCCGGAUGAAGCAGGCAUUGCUGGACUACACCUUACCACAAGGAGCUCCAUCAUCAACUAUGUUUACGCAGUGGACACGGACGGUCGCACUGUCUUCAGCGCCGUGUGGUGGAACAACUUCCUUGCUGGCAAGAAUCUCCAGGUUGGACAGGCCAUCUUAGUCACCAUCAGGAACACCCGGUGCCAUGACUUGAGGUUGAUGACCGUCAUUAACCUCAUUUAGAAGUAUGUGUGUGGCAGGGCCGUCGAUGCUAAAUGAACUGCUUAUUAGCGCUAUCUACUACUGUUUUAGCUCAUGUUUGUCAAGAGACGAUGAUGACGAUUGUCGUUUUAUUAGCGAUGUAUUGCGUACGGUUUGUGUCAUGGAAUUGUCACGAUAGGUGUCCUAGUGUGAGGACUUAGUCGUGGAGCCAUCACAUUGAGGUUAGCUUAAAGGGGUUAAUUAGGACAAAGGACACGAGGAGUUUAUACUAGUUCGGCCCGUUACGAUGAAGGUAAAAGCCUACUCCAGUUUGUAGUUGGUAUUGCUAGGGUUUUGAUGAGCAGGGAGCGAAUAUGCUUGACCCGUCUCUCGAUCUGUUCUUUCUUACCCUAAGCCGCCGCUAGGUCACCCCCUUAUAUACACGGGCUGACGCCCUGCGGCCCUUAGAGUCCCGGCCGGCUUAUACAAUGUAUCCGGCUCGGUAAACUUUCUCAUACCUUACAACACAAGCUUUACACACAUAGCAGUUUAUAUCUAUGGGCCUUAAGCCGCCUUUAGGGUCUGGGCCCUUUACUAAGCCUACUUAUGAACCACCAUACGAUCUUGGGCUUCAUUGUGAUGAAUCAUCAAAGGGAUGACCCGGCCCCUCCUGGGCGGGUCAUACCUAAUAGUUAUAUCCCCAACAUUAGGCCCUAGAUUGAUUUUGAACUUGUUCAUGUCAAUCUCCAAGACCUAGAAAAAUCCUUCCAUAUCCGCUGCACAAACUUUGUAACCCGCCGUGACGUCAUUUCUAAGAAUUUUGGAAACCUGCUACGACGUCAUCUUCAACGGAUAUUUAUCUUAAUGUCUUCCCAAAAAUCGAGGCGUCCAAUUAGAUGGAUAACUAUCAUUCGGCCUCCUCGUCUUUCAUGCCUACCUGUUUUCCUGCCUCCUUAUAAAUAGGACCGUAAGGUCAUCUCACAUUCUUCUCCUUCUCCUUUCUUCCUCCUCACAGCGCAUCGUCCCGCACGAACCUUGUCACCGUCGACCUCCGUCCUCGUCCUCGACUCCGACCAUUGCAUCGCCCUGAGUGGACCAGAGAACCGCGGCGCCAUUCCACUGUUCUAACAGCACCAGUAAGCCUUUCUUUCUUCGUCACCAAUCUGCCAUUAGGGUUUGUCGCUGUUCAUCGGUGUUCAUCCGUGUUCGUCACCAUCCUUCUUUUUCUUUGUUUAGAUCCAUGUAUUAGAUCCAAAAACCAUAGGAAUUUUGUGCGGUAGUAGUUUUAGCACUUGCGUUAAUACUAGAUUAAAUCCCCACCGCGACAGAUCUCCUCUAGGGCUCCUCGGCUUUUUCACUGCCACCUUUUGUAGAUGAAUUCAUUUCCUUUUUCUAAACAACGGUAGAUCCAAAUUUGUAACCUCCUAUCCGCGGAACUGGUUUGUCCCAGUACUUAGUGAAUUUUGCUUUCAACAACUCUUGAAUAUCUUAGUCAUGGCAGCUUACCCUGCCGACUUAUCUUUUCUUCAUAUAUCAUUAGCCCUUGCUUAAGCCGCCAUUAUAAACAUGCACUGUAAUUUUCAACUUGCAAUCCCAUCAACUGAUUUGAGCCGACCAAUUAUUUCUUUUUAGACUAUCCUUUCACCAUCCCGUCGAAGACGAUGACCACUUGCAACUGGGUUCCUUCCACAGUCACCGAGAGUACUUUGAAGGAUUUUCUCACUAUGGGAUUCUUACCAGAGAAAAGUGUCAUGCAUUAUCGUGCUCCUGACCCGGCUGAAGAGAGACCUCAGCCCAAAGAUGGUGAAAUCAUUGUCUUUACUGACCAUAUUACCCGGGGCUUCUCACCGCCCGGCUCAAAAUUCUUCAGGGAUGUUCUAUACUUUUUAAAACUCCAUCUGCAAGAUAUUGGACCCAAUUCCCUAAUAUCUGUUAGUUCCAAGUUUUUUGCGUAGUUUACCUUCAAGAAGAACCUACUGUUGAACUCUUCAGGGAAUACUUCUACCUGAACCGCCAUAACAAGUACACCAAUGGUCGCAACUUAUAACUUGGCAAGAUUUCAAUUCAACACAGACGAGAUGUCGUCUUCCCUCUAGUAGUCCUGCCCAGCCAUGCCAAGGACUGAAUCAAACAUGGUUCUACUGCAAAGAUAUCUCACCGUCUGAUGAAAAUCCAAUGCCGGGUUAUCGCGUUGAUCGCCGACGCCAAAUACCAACUCCCUAAUAAGCUUACCCCUGCCGAACGCAAGAAACUUGUCCCUACAAUCCGAAGAGUUCAAGCCUUGCUAGGAAAUGGCUUGUCCGGAGUUGAUUUGCUCUGCUGCUGGGUCACAUGGUGGAUUAUACCUUUAAGCUUCCGACCCGGCUUAAUGUAUUCAUACACUGGAGGAAUUGAUGAUCCCCUAUGUUAUAGAUCCCUGCGUCUGACCGAAGAGGCCAUCGUUGAAAUGGCAACCACCCUUGUCAAUAGCAAAUAUGAAGACUGCAGCUUGGUGGGUUUGAAUCCCUUCUGCAAGCUUAACCCGGCGCCCGAGGUAAAUCUUUUUGACUUAUUUUUUCCUCCAGCAGUUUAAAUAUCGCAUGAACUUCAACAUGUUAUCUUUCCAUAGGACAAAUCUGACUCCUGGAAAGCCAAAUAUGAUCAUGAAGCUGCUAAAAAAGCUAGAGCUGCUGCGAGAGCCGCCAAGAAGACCAUCAGAAAGUCUAAGAAGAAACCAACUGCCUCUGAUUUACUCAAGCUGGACGACACCUCUGAGUCGGAGGUAGCCCUUGACUCUCUUGGCCUGUUUUUAACCACCUUAUUAACACUGACUAUUUCCAGGAUGACACGGGGACCAGCCAGGCAGUCGAAGAAGAGGUAACUAAUAUUUCCUCCAAAACAGAACAUUUACCAAGGCAGAAACUUUGGCGGGUAAACCGGAAAGUAAGGUUUUCACACCCCUUGGCUUAUUUAGAUCCUCAUUUUCUUUUGAAACGACAGCAACAUGAGAGCCGCCGCCAAACCCGAACCGGUGGAGAUGACGAUUUACCCUCCGGCUUACCGGAUACCCCUCGGAAACGCCAGAAUGAGGUUCUUUUUUAACUUGAACCCUUGUAUUUACGAACGAGUUACCUUUAUUAAUCACUUAAUUUUGAUUCCAUCCUUGCAGGAGAUUUCUCGUUCCUCCUCUGGUGAUUCAUCCCAAACUCAAUUGCCAGCUUUCAAGACCGCCCCCGGGUAAAGAUAAUUAUCCUUCUUCUGAACCUUUAUAUACGCAUCAUUAUACUGACUUUGCCCAAAUUCCUUUCAGCGGCCAAGCAAAGCACAAAAAAGCAAAGGUGACAAAGCCGGCCGAGGAUCCGAAGAUUGCUGAACCAGAGCAGCCACCCCUUGUACCGGAACACUCUGAACCACCGGAAGAUCCUGCUGUCAAUGCUCGACCGGAUUUGCCCGAGACGUCUGUUGACGCAACCAUUCUUGAUCCAUCAACUGUUGAACCUUGAAGCUCAGCUAACCCGCCAGAGACUCACGGCGAUGAUGUUUUAAUCACUGGCACCGGAUUCAUUGAACUAGGGAACCCAACUAUUUUGGCGAGACACUCUGCCAAACAGGAAGUUAUGGAAAUGCAGAAAGUGGGAUUUGACGUCUCCCACUAUGCUCAUCUGAGUAUUUGUGAAGUGCUAUCUGGUUAUCUCAGUCAAGUGCACUCCAGCCGUGAUUCAGAAAUUGAGAUGGCCAAACAGAUGCACCAAAAUAUGAGGUAUAUUCUCCGGCUUAUAUAAGUUAUAUACUCUGCCAGCCUCCAAGUCUUCUGAUUAUGAUAAGAUAGAAUGACUGGUAGACUUAAAAGACUUAUAAGCUUCUGUCGUAGAUUCCCUCCAAGUACGGUUUACAACUAAACCGGAGGCUGAUAGUAUUUCAAUUUGUAUGUGUAGUCCCCAAGGGCCGAUUUAAUCAGCAUGAAUGAGUCGGUCCUACUAGUCCUUAUGUAAAGACCAAAAUUUAACUGCAUAUCUCUCAUGAGUCGGCUAGAACUGUCACACCUAGCUCAUCUUUAAUAAGAAAGAAGCAAUAUGCAUUAGCCCCCAAGUGCCAAGUGUUAUUUCUUGCAAAUCACUUGGGACUUGUUAGAAAGAGUCAAUUCCUUUGAAAAAUUUCGUUUGAUAAACAUUAGCCCCCAAGUACCAAGUGUUGUUUGCUUGCAAAGCACUUGGGACUUUGUAUUUUGUAAUCCGCCAUGAAACUGAACGAACUUAUGCUAUAUGCAGGCUGCGACCAUAGAAGUGGAAACUCAAUUGUCUGAGGCCAAGACCCGACUGGCGGCUCAAGAGAUUGAAACAAAGAAAGCGGAAUCCAAAUUCCAGUUGAGUGUGUCUGAAGCAGAAAAACUGAAGACCAGCUUCACUGCGGAGAAAGAAGCUUGGGCCAAUGAGAAUACCGCCUUGACACAAUGUGCUGAGAAGGCUGAGGCGGCUCUGGAAGAGGUUACCACUGAACUCAUCGGUUUAAAGAACCGUGUGUCUCGGAUGGUUUCUGCAAUCUUCGGUAAGUCACUUGUUGUUUACUCAAAGUAAAUAUUUUUCAUCAUAAUAUGAGCCACCACUUAACCAAUUGUGUAAACUUUGGAGGUCCCAGGAGUAGCAAUCUAAGCCGAGACACGUUGGUCAAGCUCAAGGCGGUUUACACGCUUGUUGAGCAAUUAUACACUAGGGCUCAGCGGACUUUGCCACUAUCUCUCCCGCAAAUCAAGAACCAAACAUAUUAAGUGAAGUCUUGAAGAAGCUGUCCAUCUUGUCCACUAGGUUCCAAGAAAUCAAGCGAUCCUAUGCUAGAGCCAGUGUUGUGACAGCUUUAAGCCGUGCCAAAGCCUGGGUAUCAGAGUUAGACCCGGUGGAUGUAGCUAGUGGGUAUCUGAUGACCCACAAGUGUAGGGGAUCUGUCGUAGCUUUUUGAUAAGUAAGAGUGUCGAACCCAAUGAGGAGCAGAAGGAAAUGAUAAGCAGUUUUCAGUAAGGUAUUCUCUGCAAGCACUGAAAUUAUCGAGAACAGAUAGUUUUCUGAUAAGUUAAUUUAUAACGAGUAGCAAGUAAUAAAAGUAAAUAAGGUGUAGCAAGAUGGCCCAAUCCUUUUUGUAGCAAAGGACAAGCCUAGACAAACUCUUAUAUGAAGGAAAGCGCUCCCGAGGACACAUGUGAAUUAUCGUCAAGCUAAUUUUCAUCACGCUCAUAUGAUUUGCGUUCGGUACUUUGAUAAUCUGAUAUGUGGGUGGACCGGUGCUUGGGUGCUGUCCUUAAUUGGACAAGCAUCCCACUUAUGAUUAACCCCCAUUGCAAGCAUCCACAACUACAACAAAAGUAUUAAGGUAAACCUAACCAUAGCAUGAAACAAAUGGAUCCAAAUCAGCCCCUUACGAAGCAACACAUAGACUAGGGUUUAAGCUUCUGUCACUCUAGCAACCCAUCAUCUACUUAUUACUUCCCAAUGCCUCCCUCUAGACCCAAACAAUGGUGAAGUGUCAUGUAGUCGACGUUCACAUGACACCACUAGAGGGAUGACAACAUACAUCUCAUCAAAAUAUCGAACGAAUACCAAAUUCACAUGACUACUUAUAGCAAGACUUCUCCCAUGUCCUCAGGAACAAACGUAACUACUCACAAAGCAUAUUCAUGUUCAUAAUGAGAGGGGUAUUAAUAUGCAUAAUGGAUCUGAACAUAUGAUCUUUGUAACACCCACGAUGCGGCUAUAUCUCCCACGUGUCGGAGGACGACUUAGAGGCAUAACCGCAUUGUAGGCAUGUCGCCAGAGGGGUAAUCUUUGCACAUGCCAUGUACUUAAUAAGAAAGGGAUAAAGAGUUGGCUUACAAUCGCCACUUCACACAAAUACAAGUUAACAUACAUCAUCAAGAAUACAAACAAUGUCCGACUACGAAACCAAAAUAAAGAAAGAAACCCCUAAUGCUAGAUCCCCGAUCGCCCCAACUGGGCUCCACUACUGAUCAACUGGAAACGAAACAAUACAACGAACACGAUCUUCAUCAAGCUCCUCCUUGAGCUCGGUUGCGUCACCUGCACGGUUACCAUCGGCACCUGCAGCUGUUUGAAGUAAUCUGUGAGUCACGGGGACUCAGCAAUCUCACACCCUCGUGAUCAAGACUAUUUAAGCUUAUGGUUAGGAAAAGGUAGUGAGGUGGAGCUGCAGCAAGCACUAGCAUAUAUGGUGGCUAACUUACGGAAAUGAGAGCGAGAAGAGAAGCAAAGCACGGUCGUGAACUAGAAGUGAUCCUGAAUCUACUUACGAUCAAGCAUAACACCAAAACCGUGUUCACUUCCCGGACUCCGCCGAAAAGAGACCAUCACGGCUACACACGCGGUUGAUGCAUUUUAAUUAAGUGAAGUGUCAAGUUCUCCACAACCAGACAUUAACAAAUUCCCAUCUGCCCAUAACCAUGGGCACGGCUUUCAAAAGUUCAAAACCCUGCAGGGGUGUCCCAACUUAGCCCAUCACAAGCUCUCACGGUCAACGAAGGAUAUUCCUUCUCCCAGGAAGACCCGGUCAGACUCGGAAUCCCGGUUACAAGACAUUUCGACAAUGGUAAAACAAGACCAGCAAGACCACCCGUUGUGCCGACAAAUCCUGAUAGGAGAUGCACAUAUCUCGUUCUCAGGGCACACCGGAUAAGCUAAGUGUACAGGAGCCGAUGUAACCCAAGUUGCCAAGGGAUGGCCCCGCACGGUGCUCUAGUUUGGACCAACACUCAGAGGAGCACUGGCCCGGGGGUUUAAAAUAAAGAUGACCCUUGAGUCUGCAGAACCCAAGGGAAAAAGGCUUAGGUGGCAAAUGGUAAAACCAAGGUUGGGCCUUGCUGGAGGAGUUUUAUUCAAGGUGAACUGUCAAGGGUUUCCCAUUAUAACCCAACCAUGUAAGGAAUGCAAAAUCAAGGAACAUAACACCGGAAUGACAGAAACUAGGGCGGCAAGAGUGGAACAAAACACCAGGCAUAAGGCCGAGCCUUCCACCCUUUACCAAGUAUAUAGGUGCAGUAAAGUAAACAAGAUAUGAUAAUGAUAUCCCAACAAUAAUCAUGUUCCAACAAGGAACAAACUUCAUCUUCACCUGCAACUAGCAACGCUAUAAGAGGGGCCGAGCAAAGCGGUAACAUAGCCAAACAAUGGUUUGCUAGAAAAGGUGGGUUAGAGGCUGGCAAGGCAAUAUGGAAGGCAUGAUAUAGCAAGUGGUAGGUGUCGCGGCAUAGCAAAAGAGCGAGCAGCUAGCAAGCAAAGAUAGAAGUGAUUUCGAGGGUAUGGUCAUCUUGCCUGAGAUCCCGCAAAGAAGAAGAACGAGUCCAUGAAGAAGACAAACGGACGUAGUCAAGCGGAUCCUCAGAAACGCGACGUUACCAGAACUAACCCAAAGAAGCAACACCGGAAAGAAGCAAACAACAUAGGUAAACAACCAUCACAUAAACAUGGCAUGAUGCACAACCAAGCAUGAUGCAUGUCCGGAUUAAAUAUGCAUGGCAUGGCAAAGUGCACAAACAAAACUACAAGUUAAGUGGAGCCCAAUAUGCAACGAGAACACCACAUCAAUUAUUUAGUUCACUCCCGGUUAGGUACUCAACAAUAUUAAAUGUUGGUUAACAUGGCAAGAGGUGAAGCAUAACAAAACUAUACUAUCUAAACAAUUUAAAUGGGCCGGAAUAACAAACAACAAAUUCGGUAAAUCCGCAUAUGCAUUUAGCAAAUUAAUGCAAACAACAAUUUAAACCAUUCUUGAUGUUCUUAACAUGAUGCGGAUGACAUGUGCAAGUUUUAUGCAAUUUGGAAAAGUUGACAAGAGCAUGAUAUGAAGCAUUUGUCAUCAUGGCGGAAACGAAAGGGGUGCCAUGACAAUGACACCAGAAAUGGUGCCACGGCAACAUUCCGGUUCCGAUAGCUCACAGAGAUACCAGUGCAAAAGGAAAAGUGACGGGGGCGUGACAUGCUAUAGAAGGUGGGGUGAUCCCGGUAACCGGGUUCCCAUGAGAAGACGACAUGGCAACGGGCACGAUGCAAACACGAGCAUUUCAUACAACAUAUGCAUUCGUCCACGGGCGGUCGUUCUCGGCGGUUAUACCUUCGAAGCGUGCAAACGAGAUGGUUCGGGUUCGUCGAGGGAAGUAGAGGAAGUAGUCGUUCCGUGAUGGUAGUAGAAGUAGUGGUACUAUCGGUCCUCGCCGGCAGUGGUACACGGUUCAUAGACGUUCAUAGUCAUGGCGAGGAACUUGACGAAACCCAAGGCGACGGUAGUUGUACAUGGUCCACGAGUCGUCGAUCGUUCGGGGUCCGACUUGCGGGUCUUGCCGACAUCAAGGGGUACUUGGUGUUUUUCGUAAAGGUACUCUCGAUCUUGGUGACGGUAAUUGUUCCCGUUCGUUCGGAGAGGUGCUUGCUGACUCCGAGCCCUUCCCUGACGUUCAGAGAGGUGUUUGCGAUGGUAGUUCUCUCUUAUUUUACAAGGUUUGUAUAAAGAGGGAGAAUGCCGGUAGCUGGAAUUCUGGUCUGGAAAAGGAGCAAAUAUUAGAGACCUAUUCUACGCAACUCCAAAAGUCCUGAAACUCCACAAAACGUCUUAAAAGAAAUAAAGAAAAAUCCACGCAAAAGAUGAAGGCCAGGGGGCCCACACCCUGCUCACGAGGGUGGGGGGCGCCCCCUAGGGCGCGCCCCCUACCUCGUGGGCCCCCUGGUGGCUCUCCGAUACCCAUCUUCUCUUAUAUGACGUCUUUCGAUGAGAAAAAAUAAGAAGGAACUUUUCGGGACGAAACUCCGCCGCCACAAGGCGGAACCUUGGCGGAUCCAAUCUAGAGCUCCGGCAGAGCUGUUCUGCCGGGGAAACUUCCCUCCCGGAGGGGGAAAUCAUCACCAUUGUCAUCACCAACGCUCCUCUCAUCGGGAGAGGGCAAUCCUCAUCAACAUCUUCACCAGCACCAUCUCAUCUCCAAACCCUAGUUCAUCUCUUGUAUCAAAUUCUUGUCUCAAAGUCCGGGAUUGGUGCUAGUAGGUUGCUAGUAGUGUUGAUUGCUCCUUGUAGUUGAUGCUAGUUGGUUUAAUUGGUGGAAGAUCAUAUGUUCAGAUCCUAUAUGCAUAUUAUUACCCCUCUGAUUAUGAACAUGAAUAUGCUUUGUGAGUAAUUACGUUCGUUCCUGAGGACAAGGGAGAAGUUUUGCUAUGAGUAGUCAUGUGAAUUUGGUAUUCGUUUGAUAUUUUGAUAAGAUGUAUGUUGUCUAGCCUCUAGUGGUGUUAUGUGAACGUCGACUACAUAACACUUCACCAUUAUUUGGGCCUAGAGGAAGGCAUUGGGAAGUAAUAAGUAGAUGUUGGGUUGCUAGAGUGACAGAAGCUUAAACCCUAGUUUAUGCGUUGCUUCAUAAGGGGCUGAUUUGGAUCCAUAUGUUUCAUGCUAUGGUUAGGUUUACCUUAAUACUUUUGUUGUAGUUGUGGAUGCUUGCAACAGAGGUUAAUCAUAAGUGGGAUGCUUGUUCAAGUAAGAACAACACACAAGCACCGGUCCACCCACAAAUCAAAUUAUCAAAGUAUCGAACGCGAAUCAUAUGAACGUGAUGAAAACUAGCUUGACGAUAUUCCCAUGUGUCCUCGGGAGCGCUUUUCCUAUUAUAAGAGUUUGUUCCGGCUUGUCCUUUGCUACAAAAGGAUUGGGCCACCUUGCUGCACUUUAUUUACUUUUGUUACUUGUUUCUCGUUACAACCUAUCUUAUCACAAAACUAUCUGUUACCACUUAUUUCAGUACUUGCAGAGAAUACCUUGCUGAAAACCGCUUAUCAUUUCCUUCUGCUCCUCGUGGGUUCGACACUCUUACUUAUCGAAAGGACUACGAUAGGUCCCCUAUACUUGUGGGUCAUCAAGACUCUUUUCUGGCGCCGUUGCCGGGAGUGUAGCGCCUUUGGUAGGUGGAAUUUGGUAAGGAAAAAUUUAUAUAGUGUGCUGAAAUUUACUGUCACUUGUUACUAUGGAAAGUAAUUCUCUGAGGGGCUUGUUCGGGGUAUCUUCACCCCGUCCAGUAGAGCAAAGAGUUGCUCCUCAACCUACUGAACCUAUUGAAAAUGAAAUUCCUUAUGAGUAUCCUUUGGGUAUGAUAGAAAAACUGCUAGAUAACCCUUUUACAGGAGAUGGAACAAAGCAUCCUGAUGAGCACUUAAUAUAUGUGGAUGAAGUUUGUGGAUUAUUUAAGCUUGCAGGUAUACCCGAUGAUGUUGCUAAGAAGAAGGUCUUCCCUUUAUCUUUGAAGGGAGACACAUUGAUAUGGUAUAGGCUAUGUGAUGAUAUGAGAUCAUGGGACUAUAAAAGAUUGAAGCUGGAAUUUCAUCAAAAGUAUUACCAUAUGCAUCUUGUUCAUCGUGAUCGCAAUUAUAUAUAUAAUUUCUGGCCUCACGAAGGAGAAAGCAUCGCUCAAGCUUGGGGGAGGCUUAAAUCAAUGUUAUAUUCAUGCCCCAAUCAUGAGCUCUCAAGAGAAAUAAUCAUGCAAAGUUUUUAUGCUCGGCUUUCUGAAAACAAUCGCACCAUGCUCGAUACUUCUUUGUGCUGGCUCUUUUAUGAUGAAGACUAUUGAAUUCAGAUGGAAUUUAUUGGAUAGAAUUAAACGCAACUCUGAAGAUUGGGACCUCGACGAAGGUAAGGAGUCAGGUAUGACACCUAAGUUUGAUUGUGUUAAAUCUUUUAUGGAUACCGAUAUUUUCUGUAAGUUUAACACUAAAUAUGGACUUGACUCUGAGAUAGUAGCUUCUUUCUGUGAAUCUUUUGCUACUUAUGUUGAUCUCCCUAAGGAGAAGUGGUUUAAAUAUCAUCCUCCCAUAGAAGUAAAAGUAGCUGCACCUAUUAAAGUUGAAGAAAAGAUUGUCACUUAUAAUGAUCCUAUUGUUCCUACUUCUUAUAUUGAGAAACCACCUUUCCCUGUUAGAAUAAAGGAUCAUGCUAAAGCUUCAACUGUUGUUCGUAAAAGCAAUAUUAGAACUUAUACACCUCCUGAACAAGUUAAAGUAGAACCUAAUAUUGCUAUUGUUAAAGAUCUCUUGUCUGAUAAUAUUGAUGUGCAUGUUAUUCAGUUCGAAGGUGAAAUUGCUAGAAUUGCUAAACCUUGUGCUAAAGAUAAACAUAGACCUGUGGUAGGCGUGCCUGUUAUUUCUAUUAAAAUAGGAGAUCAUUGUUAUCAUGGCUUAUGUGAUAUGGGUGCAGGUGCUAGUGUUAUACCGCAUACUUUAUAUGAAGAAAUUAAGAAUGAAAUUACACCUGUUGAGUUAGAAGAUACUGAUGUUACUAUUAAACUUGCCAAUAGAGAUACUAUUGCACCAAUUGGAAUUGUUAGAGAUGUUGAAGUCUUGUGUGGGAAAACUAAAUAUCCUGCUGAUUUUCUUAUUCUUACUUCUCCGAAAGAUAGAUUUUGUCCAAUUAUAUUUGGUAGACCCUUCUUAAAUACUGUCAAUGCUACCAUAGACUGCAAAAAGAAUGUUGUUAAUGUUGGCUUGGAUGAUAUGGUUCAUGAGUUUAAUUUCUCUAAAUUUAGUAAACAACAUCGUGAGGAAGAAUUACCUAGUAAGGAUGAAAUUAUUGGUCUUGCUUCUAUUGCCGUACCUCCUAGUGAUCCUUUAGAACACUAUUUGCUAGACCAUGAAAAUGAUAUGUUCAUGAAUGAAAGAAGGGAAAUAGAUGAAGUAUUCUUUAAACAGGAACCUAUUCUGCAUCACAAUUUGCAUGUUGAAAUUUUUAGGGGAUCCUCCUCCACCCAAGGGUGAUCCCGUGUUUGAGCUUAAACCUUUUCCUGAUAAUCUUAAAUAUGCUUAUCUUGAUGAAAAUAAGAUAUAUCCUGUUAUUAUUAGUGCUAACCUUUUAGAGCAUGAAGAAGAAAGAUUAUUGAAAACUCUGAAGAAGCACUGUGCUGCUAUUGGAUAUACUCUUGAUGAUCUUAAGGGCAUUAGUCCCACUCUAUGUCAACAUAAAAUAAAUUUGGAAGUAGAUGCCAAACCAGUUCGUGAUCCUCAACACCGUCUGAAUCCUAAAAUGAAAGAAGUGGUAAGAAAAGAAAUACUAAAGCUUCUGGAGGCAGGUAUAAUCUAUCCCGUUGCUGAUAGUGAGUGGGUAAGUCCUGUCCAUUGUGUCCCUAAGAAGGGAGGUAGUACUUUUGUUCCUAAUGAUAAACAUGAAUUGAUCCCACAAAGAAUUAUCACAGGUUAUAGGAUGGUAAUUGAUUUUCGCAAAUUAAAUAAAGCUACUAAGAAAGAUCAUUACCCCUUACCUUAUAUUGAUCAAAUGCUAGAAAGAUUAUGCAAACAUACACACUAUUGCUUUCUAGAUGGUUAUUCUGGUUUCUCUCACAUACCUGUGUUGGCUAGAGAUCAAUCAAAGACUACUUUUACAUGCCCUUUUGGUACUUUUGCUUAUAGACGUAUGGCUUUUGGUUUAUGUAAUGCACCUGCUACCUUUCAAAGAUGCAUGAUGGCUAUAUUCUCUGACUUUUGUGAAAAGAUUUGUGAGGUUUUCAUGGACGACUUUUCCGUCUAUGGUUCCUCUUUUGAUGAUUGCUUGAGCAAACUUCAUCGAGUUUUGCAGAGAUGUGAAGAAACUAAUCUUGUCUUGAAUUGGGAAAAGUGCAACUUUAUGGUUAAUGAAGGUAUUGUCUUGGGGGACAAAGUUUCUGAAAGAGGUAUUGAAGUUGAUAAAGCCAAGGUUGAUGCUAUUGAAAAGAUGCCAUGUCCCAAGGACAUCAAAGGUAUAAGAAGUUUCCUUGGUCACGCCGGAUUUUACAGGAGGUUCAUAAAGGACUUCUAAAAAAAUUCUCGGCCUCUGACUAAUUUAUUGCAAAAAGAUAUACCAUUUGUUUUUGAUGAUGAUUGUGUAGAAGCAUAUGAAGUACUUAAGAAAGCAUUAGUGUCUGCACCAGUUGUUCAGCCACCUGAUUGGAACCUACCCUUUGAAAUUACGUGUGAUGCUAGUGAUUAUGCUGUAGGUGCUGUUCUAGGGCAAAGAGUUGACAAGAAAUUAAAUGUUAUUCAUUAUGCUAGUAAGACUCUAGACAAUGCUCAAAGAAAUUAUGCUACUACUAAAAAAGAACUCUUAGCAGUUGUAUUUGCUUGUGAUAAGUUCAGAUCUUAUAUUGUUGACUAUUCAAACUGAUCAUGCUGCUAUUAAAUAUCUUAUGGAAAAGAAAGAUGCUAAACCUAGACUUAUUAGAUGGGUUCUCUUGCUACAAGAAUUUGAUUUGCAUAUUGUUGAUAGAAAGGGAGCUGAUGUAACGCCCUCAAUGCGGCUAUAUCUCCCACGUGUCGAAGCACGACUUAGAGGCAUAACCGCAUUGAAAGCAAUGUCGCAAGUGAGGUAAUCUUCACACAACCCAUGUAAUACAUAAGGGAAAGAGAUACAUAUUUGGCUUACAAUUGCCACUUCACACAAUUACAUGAAUAAAGCAUUACAUCAUCCAAAUACAAUCAAGGUCUGACUACAGAACCAAAAUAAAAGAAGAACCCCAAAUGCGACAAGGUCCCCGAUCUACCCCAACCGGGCUCCACUACCGAUCAACUAGAACGAAACGACACAAAGGACAAGAUCUUCAUCGAGCUCCUCCUGAGCUUGGUUGCGUCACCUGCUCGGUAACAUCGGCACCUGCAAACUGGUUUUGGAAGUAUCUGUGAGUCACGGGGACUCAGCAAUCUCACACCCUCGCGAUCAAGACUAUUUAAGCUUAUAGGUAGGGAAAAAGUAUGAGGUGGAGCUGCAUCAAGCGACUAGCAUAUAUGGUGGCUAAACAUACGCAAAUGAGAUCGAGAAGAGAAGGCAAAGCACGAUCGUGAAACUAUGAUCAAGAAGUGAUCCUAGAACAACCUACAUCAAGCAUAACUCCAACACCGUGUUCACUUCCCAGACUCCGCCGGAAAGAGACCAUCACGGUUACACACGCGGUUGAUGUAUUUUAAUUAAGGUCAACUUCAGGUUUUCUACAACCGGACAUUAACAAAUUCCCAUCUUCCCAUAACCGCGGGCACGGCUUUCAAAAUUUCAAAUCCCUGCAGGGGUGUCCCAACUUAGCCCAAGACAAGCUCUCACGGUCAACGAAGGAUAUACCUUCUAGCCGGAAGACCCGAUCAGACUCGGAAUCCCGGUUACAAGACAUUUCGACAAGGUAAAACUAAACCAGCAACACCGCCCGAAUGUGCCGACAAAUCCUGAUAGGAGCUGCACAUAUCUCUUUCUCAGGGCACACUCAGAUUGUCCUAGGUACGGGUAGGCCAGCCCAGAGUUGCCCCUGGUGGCCACCGGCAGCUGACAGGUUGGACCAACACUCAGAGGAGCACUGGCCUGGGGGGGGGGGGGUUAAAUAAUGAUGACCCUUGAGUCUGCAGAACCCAAGGGAAAGAAAAGGCUAGGUGGCGAAUGGUAAAACCAAUGUUGGGCAUUGCUGGAGGAGUUUUACUCAAGGCGAACUGUCAAGGGGUUCCCAUAAUAGCCCAACCGCGUAAGGAACGCAAAAUCCAGGAACAUAACACCGAUAUGACGGAAACUAGGGCGGCAAGAGUGGAACAAAACACCAGGCAUAAGGCCGAGCCUUCCACCCUUUACCAAGUAUAUAGAUGCAUUAAUUAAAUAAGAUAUAUUGUGAUAUCCCAACAAGUAAACAUGUUCCAACAAGGAACAACAUCUCCAUGUUCCAACAAGGAACAAACUUCAAUCUUCACCUGCAACUAACAACGCUAUAAGAGGGGCUGAGCAAAGCGGUAACAUAGCUAAACAAAGGUUUGCUAGGACAAGGUGGGUUAGAGGCUUGGCUCAACAAUAUGGGAGGCAUGGUAAGCAAGUGGUAGGUAUCGCAGUGUAGGCAUAGCAAAAGAGCGAGCAACUAGCAAGCAAAGAUAGAAGUGAUUUCGAGGGUAUGAUCAUCUUGCCUGAAAUCCCACAAGGAAGAAGAACGAGUCCAUGAGGAAGACAGACGAACGUAGCCGAACGGAUCCUCACAAACGCAACGUUACCGGAAACAACCUGAAGAAGCACACCGGAAAGAAGCAGACAACAUAGUAAACAACCACCACAUGACCAUGGCAUGAUGCACAACCAAGUAUGAUGCAUGUACGGUUUAAUGAAGCAUGGCAUGGCGAAGUGCACAAGCAAUUCUACAAAUUAAGUGGAGCUCACUAUGCAACGAGUUGCAUAUUGACGAAACACCACAACAAGUUAUUUAGUUCGAUCUCGUUUAUGUACCCAUCAAUAUUAAAUGUUUUUAAACAAGGCAAGAGGUGGAGCAUAGGAAAACUACCUAUCUAGGCAAGUUUAAAUGAGGCCGGAACGACAAACAACAAGUCCGGAAACUCCUCAUGUGCAUAUUUUGGUUAUGGUACUGUUCUGCCCUAAACAUUAUUUUAGAGUUGUUAAACACGCAAAGUGAGUACAACAUGUAAAUCUAGGCAUUUUUCUACCCCAUUUACAUAUAAAGUUUAUUAAAUUUGGAGCUACGGUUAAUUAGUUAUGAAUUAAAUCAUCUUAACAUGGCAUUUAAGCAAAAUUAAACAAACAACAAGUUUAAACAUUUUAAACAUAGAUGAAAGUGGCAAAUUAUUAAUCUACACAAAAUUCUAAGCAAGUUUCAUAUAUAAACUGUUUUAAUCCGAUGCACGGUUAAUAAGUUAUUAUAUGCAUGAAGCUUAGGGGUUAUACUGUAAAACUACAGUGCUCUGAUUAAAUAGAAAAAAACGUCCUGGCACGAAAAAAACAUAACAGGGCCGAAUCCAUGCACUGGGCCUGAAACAAAGCAUGGGANNNNNNNNNNNNNNNNNNNNNNNNNNNNNNNNNNNNNNNNNNNNNNNNNNNNNNNNNNNNNNNNNNNNNNNNNNNNNNNNNNNNNNNNNNNNNNNNNNNNNNNNNNNNNNNNNNNNNNNNNNNNNNNNNNNNNNNNNNNNNNNNNNNNNNNNNNNNNNNNNNNNNNNNNNNNNNNNNNNNNNNNNNNNNNNNNNNNNNNNNNNNNNNNNNNNNNNNNNNNNNNNNNNNNNNNNNNNNNNNNNNNNNNNNNNNNNNNNNNNNNNNNNNNNNNNNNNNNNNNNNNNNNNNNNNNNNNNNNNNNNNNNNNNNNNNNNNNNNNNNNNNNNNNNNNNNNNNNNNNNNNNNNNNNNAAGACUCUGGGUCUUGGCGAGGCAAGGAUGAGCCCAAGCGGCGCUGCCGGCUAGUGCUCGCGGGGGCUGGUCAAUGGGGUCGCUCGGACGACUCGGGGCAGAUGCGGCGUCCUCCUCUUCUCGACAGGAAAAAGAGCAGCAGCGGCGUGGGACUUGGCGGCCGGUUCGGUGAAGCAAACAACAGGCACGGCGGCGCUGAGGACUCCGGCGAGCAGCAGGAUGAGGACGGGUCGGCGCGGGAGCUCGGUGGCGUCCGGAUCCAAGCGCGAGAAACCUUCGGGUCUCGUUUCCUGCCGGAUCAAAGCGAAGGCAGCGGAGACCUUGGGACCUGGCGUCCAUGGCGAGGUACCGCGCUGGUAACCCAUGGCCGGAGCAGACGCGCUAGCGAUGAGGAGCAGCGGGAACGGCUAGAGAACGGCGGAAAUCGAGCGCGGAGGAGCCGGGCAUGGCGAAUCCAGACGCUUAUGGCAAGAACUUGGAGAUGGCGGCUUCCUCCUUGCGGUUCCUGCACGGACGUACCUGGGAGAGAGAGAGCAAUAUUGAGCGAGAGAGACAGAGAUACGACAGGAGGAGGAGAACGAAGGGAAGGAGAGGGAUGCGGCCGGUCCUGGUGGCUUCGGUGGUGGACGACGGGAUCCAGGGGAGGCACGGUUUGGUAGGUUCGAAGGCGACUGGCCGGGGACUGAAAUCGAGGAGGGAUGGGUGGAAGGAUCAAACAGAUCCCGAGGAAGGGGGGAGACCAGUUGGAGAAAUCAGUGGGUGGCGGCGCUAGGAGGAUUGGACGGGCUAAGGCUAGGGUUAGGGGUUGAUCUAUUUAAAUAGGUAGGGGGAUAGAUCUUGGACCCUCCGAUUAAAUCGGACGAUCGAGAAUAAAAGGUUAGAGUAGUCCAAAUAAGAAAAUGGUGACGUUUUGUUGAUGUUAGGGGAUGAUCCGGACACAACGAUAGCGACAGCCCGAGUCGGGUCCGGGACAGCUUUCGGGCGCGCGCGAGGAUGGUCGCGGGCUGAUGAGAGAGGUUAGGUAGGGCCUGGUGGUGAGUAGUGGGCUGUGUAGACGGUCUCGAGCUGAGAGAACAGAAGAGAGAGACCCGGCGACUGUUUCCGGAGACCGAAAAUGACCGACGAAAAGACCGGCUAUAAUGCCGCUAUAGUUUAACGGUUGGGCUAUCAAACAAACUCCGAAUGCGAUGAAACUUGGCAGGCAACCUACCUACACUAUAAUAAGACCACACGUCAACUCUCAUCUCAUUCCGAGAACAUUUUCCGGCCACUUAUAAAAUAUUAUUUCGGACAUGCCGCGGGCGCGUGCAAGUGUGUCUGGGCUCAGAACGGACAACAGAAAGAACGAGGAGACCGGGACGGAUGCAAGUUUUGAAAACAUGAUGAUGAAAUGCGGAUGAUGACAUGACAAGAUGCAACAUGCAAGCAAAUGAUAAGCCAACAACAACAAAUAAGCGGAGGACACCUGGCACAACGGUCUCGGGGUAUUACAGCUGAGAACCCCGUUGCAGACAACCUGUCUAGGUUAGAAAAUAUUCUUGAUGACCCACUACCUAUUAAUGAUAGCUUUCCUGAUGAACAAUUAAAUGUUAUAAGUACUUCUCGAAGUACUCCAUGGUGUGCUGAUUAUGCUAAUUAUAUUGUUGCUAAAUUUAUACCACCUAGCUUCACAUACCAGGAAAAGAAAAAGUUGUUCUAUGAUUUAAGACAUAACUUUUGGGAUGACCCACAUCUUUAUAAAGAAGGAGUAGAUGGUGUUAUUAGACGUUGUGUACCUGAGCAUGAACAGGAACAGAUCCUACGCAAGUGUCAUUUCGAAUCUUAUGGAGGACAUUACGCUGGAGAUAGAACUGCACAUAAUGUAUUGCAAUCUGGUUUUUAUGGCCUACUCUCUUCAAGGAUGCCCGUAAGUUUGUCUUGUGAUGAAUGUCAAAGAAUUGGUAAUAUUAGUAGACGUCAAGAAAUGCCUGUGAAUUAUUCACUUGUUAUUGAACCGUUUGAUGUUUGGGGCUUUGAUUAUAUGGGACCUUUUCCUGCCUCUAAUGGAUACACACAUAUUUUAGUUGCUGUUGAUUACGUUACUAAGUGGGUAGAAGCUAUUCCAACUAGUAGUGCCGAUCAUAACACUUCUAUUACAAUGCUUAAGGAAGUUAUUUUCCCGAGUUUGGAGUCCCUAGAUAUUUAAUGACUGAUGGUGGUUCACACUUUAUUCAUGGUGCUUUUCGUAAAAUGCUUGCUAAAUAUGAUGUUAAUCAUAGAAUUGCAUCUCCUUAUCACCCAUAGUCUAGUGGUCAAGUAGAGUUGAGCAAUAGAGAGCUCAAAUUAAUUUUGCAAAAGACUAUUAAUAGGUCUAGAAAGAAUUGGUCUAAGAAACUUGAUGAUGCAUUAUGGGCUUAUAGAACUGCAUACAAAAAUCCUAUGGGUAUGUCUCCGUAUAAAAUGGUUUAUGGAAAAGCAUGUCACUUACCUCUCGAACUAGAACAUAAGGCAUAUUGGGCUAUUAAAGAGCUUAACUAUGAUUUUAAACUUGUCGGUGAGAAGAGGUUAUUUGACAUUAGCUCACUUGAUGAAUGGAGAACCCAAGCUUAUGAGAAUGCCAAGUUGUUUAAAGAAAAAGUUAAAAGAUGGCAUGACAAAAGGAUACAAAAGCGUGAUUUUAAUGUAGGUGAUUAUGUAUUGCUAUACAACUCUCGUUUAAGAUUUUUUGCAAGAAAACUUCUCUCUAAAUGGGAAGGCCCCUUUGUUAUCGAAGAGGUCUAUCGUUCCGAUGCCAUAAAGAUCAACAAUUUCGAGGGCACGAAUCCGAAGGUGGUAAACGGUCAAAGAAUUAAACAUCAUAUCUCAGGUAAUCCCAUAAUGUUGAAACCAAUAUUAUUGAAACCGUAACCCCGGAAGAAUACAUAAAGGACACUUUCCAGAACGUUUCAGACUCCGAAAAGGAAUAUGUAUGUGGUACGGUAAGUAAACCGACUCCAAAACAAUUUUUAUGGCAAUAUCUCUCCGUUUUGGAAUAUUUAGAAAAAUAGAAAAAUAAGUAGCAGCCCGAGAAGGACACGAGGGCCCCACGAGGGUGGUGGGCGCGUCCCCCUACCUCGUGAGAACCUCGUGUGCCUUCCGGACUCUGUUUUCUUGCACACUACGUAUUUUGGUCGGUAAAAUUCAUUAUAUAAUCUCCCGGAGGUUUUGACUCCCGUAUCACGCAAAAAUCUCCUGUUUUUGUUUCGAGCUGUUUUUUUGACAGAUCUAGGUUAUCGUGACGGCCCCAAGCGCCUCCAAGGACAAGUUCUUCGAGAAGGUCAUCAACCCUUACCUCGCAGAGGUGCUGCGACACCCUCAAACCAAUGAGUUGCGUGAUGGGUUGCUGCACAUCCGCGAUGAAGAGGGACCAAAGGGGACCAGAAGCAUAGAGACGAGGCUCGAAGCAUUGGAGCAACAAUUUUACAAGUGCCAGGGGAUGGUGGAGCAUGGAAUCAAUGCUAGCCACACGAUGCUCGCGGAGUUCACUAACAAUUACAAGCCGGAUGCCCAGAACACUGAGGAAGCCAUCUUUAAGCUAUAUGAGAAGAUCGAGCACCUCCAAGGCCAAGUCUAUGACCUUCAUAACCAAAACCGUGAGUAUGAAUAUAGAUUCAAAAGAAUGAGUUUGGCUGCAGAUUUGAGGAUUCCAGAGACUCGAUCAUCUUUCUACGAUGGUGAACCUAUGCCUUGGAAGAUGGAUGACAAGCCCGCAUCAUCAACAACAUCUCCGCCGUCUCCGCCAACAAAGAAGAAUUGAGUAUCUGGGUAUGGGCACUCCCCUUGGCAACUGCCAAGCUUGGGGGAGGUGCCCUGGUAUCGUAUCACAAUCACAACUCUUAUCUUUACCGUUUUUUCUUAGUUCGAUCCUAUUAGUAGUAUCUUGAUCCAGUAGAAUAAAUUUUAUGGCAUGAUCUAGUUUUGAGUUUUGCUUUAUGAUCUCUCUAUGUAAUCGAGUCCAUGAGCUAUAUAUAAUAAAUAUUAGUGUUGAGUCAAGGUCUUGAUUAUUUUGCCAUGAUCUUGGGUGAAUAAAGGAAAAGAGAAAAAGAAUAAAAAGAAACAAAAAGUUCAUAUUGAUCUUAUUGAGAGUAAUGACUUCACAUAGAAAGAGUAUGAUGAUUAAAAGUUGUUGGGAGUUGACAGACAUAGCUUUGGUCAUUGUUGCAAUUAAUAGGAAGUAAUAAGGAAAGAGAGUUUUUCACAUAUAGAUAUAUUAUCAUUGACAUCUUUUAUGAUUGGGAGCACUCAUUAAAAUAUGUCAUGCUAAAGAGUUGAUGUUGGACAAGGAAGACAACGUAAUGAGUUAUGUAUUUCUUAUAUCUGAGAUAAAGUAUGUUGUCAUGGAUCCUCUAACUUGUUGAGCUUGCCUUUCCCCCUCAUGCUAGCCAAAUUCUCAGCACCAAGUAGAAAUACUACUUGUGCUUCCAAAUACCCUUAAACCAGUUUUGCCAUGAGAGUCCACCAUAUCUACCUAUGGAUUGAGUAAGAUCCGUCAAGUAAGUUGUCAUCGGUGCAAAGCAAUAAAAAUAGCUCUAAAUAUGUAUGAUUGAUUGGUGUGGGCGAAAUAAGCUUGAUGCGAUCUUGUGAUGUGUUAGUAAUAAAAGCGACGGACUGCAUAAUAAAGGUUCAUAUCACAAGGGGCAAUAUAAAGUGAUGUUCUUUCGCAUUGAGAUUUUAUAUAUCCAACCAUAAAAGCGCAUGGCAACCUCUGCUUCCCUCUGCGAAGGGCCUAUCCUUUAUUAUUAUCUUCUACCUCAUGCAAGGGUCAUGGUGAUCUUCACCUUUUCUUUUUCAUUUUAUCCUUUGGCAAGCUCAGCAUGUUGGAAAGAACAUGAUAUAUAUAUCUAAUUGGAUGUAGGGGAGCAUGAACCAUUAUUGUUGACAUUACCCUUGAGGUAAAAGGUUGUGGGGCAAAACUAUAAGCUCCUAUCUUUCUCUGUGUCCGAUUAAAAUUCCGUAACCACAAGUAUCGCAUGAGUGUUAGCAAUUAUAGAGGACUAAAUGAUAGUUGAGUAUGUGGACUUGCUUCUUAGCUCUGACAUAGACUCUUUCCGAUGUUAUGAUAAAUUGCAAUUGCUUCAAUGACUGAGAUUAUAGUUUGUCGGAGCCUAAUAAGGUUUAUGAUUUAUACUUUUGCAUUGUGAAUAGAUCAUCACUUGAACAUAAGUAAUCAUAUGACAAAAUCUAUAUAUGUUGCUGUUAUGAGAAUACUCAUGAUGCCUUCAUGUCCGUAUUUUAUUUUUAUCGACGCCUCUACCUCUAAACAUGAGGACAUAUUUAUUGUUAUCGGCUUUUCGCUUGAGGACAAGCGAGGUCUAAGCUUGGGGGAGUUGAUACGUCCAUUUUGCAUCAUGCUUUUAUAUCGAUAUUUAUCGCAUUAUGGACUGUUAUUUCACUUUAUAUCACAAUACUUAUGGCUAUUCUCUCUUAUUUUACAAGGUUUAUAUAAAGAGGGAGAAUGCCGACAGCUAGAAUUCUGGUCUGGAAAAGGAGCAAAUAUUAGAGACCUAUUCCAUGCAACUCCAAAAGUCCUGAAACUCCAUGGAACAUCUUAAAAGAAAUAAAGAAAAAUCCACGCAAAAGAUGAAGGCCAGGGGGCCCACACCCUGCUCACAAGGGUGGGGGGCGCCCCCCCUAGGGCGCGCCCCCUACCUCGUGGGCCCCCUGGUGGCUCUCCGACGCCCAUCUUCUCCUAUAUGAGGUAUUUCGAUGAGAAAAAAAUAAGAAAGAACUUUUCGGGACGAAACUCCGCCGCCACGGGGCGGAACCUUGGCGGAUCCAAUCUAGAGCUCAGCUGUUCUGCCAGGGAAACUUCCCUCCCGGAGGGGGAAAUCAUCACCAUCGUCAUCACCAACGCUCCUCUCAUCGGGAGAGGGCAAUCUUCAUCAACAUCUUCACCAGCACCAUCUCAUCUCCAAACCCUAGUUCAUCUCUUGUAUCCAAUUCUUGUCUCAAAGUCCAGGAUUGGUGCUAGUAGGUUGCUAGUAGUGUUGAUUACUCUUUGUAGUUGAUGCUAGUUGGUUUAAUUGGUGGAAGAUCAUAUGUUCAGAUCCUAUAUGCAUAUUGAUACCCCUCUGAUUAUGAACAUGAAUAUGCUUUGUGAGUAAUUACGUUUGUUCCUGAGGACAAGGGAGAAGUUUUGCUAUGAGUAGUCAUGUGAAUUUGGUAUUCGUUUGAUAUUUUGAUAAGAUGUAUGUUGUCUAGCCUGUAGUGGUGUUAUGUGAACGUCGACUACAUAACACUUCACCAUUAUUUGGGCCUAGAGGAAGGCAUUGGGAAGUAAUAAGUAGAUGUUGGGUUGCUAGAGUGACAGAAGCUUAAACCCUAGUUUAUGCAUUGCUUCGUAAGGGGCUGAUUUGGAUCCAUAUGUUUCAUGCUAUGGUUAGGUUUACCUUAAAUAAUUUUUUUGUAGUUGCGGAUGUUUGCAACAGAGGUUAAUCAUAACUGGGAUGCUUGUUCAAGUAAGAACAACACCCAGCACCGGUCCACCCACAUAUCAAAUUAUCAAAGUAUCGAACACGAAUCAUAUGAACGUGAUGAAAACUAGCUUGAGGAUAUUCCCAUGUGUCCUCGGGAGCGCUUUUCCUAUUAUAAGAGUUUGUUCCGGCUUGUCCUUUGCUACAAAAGGAUUGGGCCACCUUGCUGCACUUUAUUUACUUUUGUUACUUGUUUCUCGUUACAACCUAUCUUAUCACAAAACUAUCUGUUACCACUUAUUUCAGUACUUGAAGAGAAUACCUUGCUGAAAACCGCUUAUCAUUUCCUUCUGCUCCUCGUGGGUUCGACACUCUUACUUAUCGAAAGGACUACGAUAGAUCCCGUAUACUUGUGGAUCAUCAGAAGGCAACAACAUGGCCGAUGGUGAGGUUGCAGCAGGCCUUGGGCGUGAACUCUGGCGACGGGACGAUGAGGAACAACGAUAUCCCGAACGGAGGAGGUCGGGGAUGACGAGAACGAAGCGGCGCUGGAGUAUGGCGACACGGCGGCCGGACGAAGCAGGGAGGCGCGAUGGAGGGACCGGCUGUAGGAGGAGAAGGGCGGCGGCGCUCGGCAGAGUGAGGACGACGGCGCUAUGAGCCGGCAGGGUGGAGCCGAGAAGGAGGUCCACAUCGUUCCUCGGCGUCCGCGAGGAGGCUCAGAGAGGCGGAGGAGAAGAAGGGGUGCACCGGGGAAGGCUCGGUCUUUGCCGGCGGCGCUGGAGGGGAUUGGGCGCGGGGGCUCCUCCCCUGGCUCGAGGUGGAAAAGAGGAGAGGGAGACAAGGGGAGGAAGAGCGAGGGGGUCGGGAUGCGGGCUCCUGGCGCUGCCUGCGGGGGCGAUGUGGGGAUCGAUAGGAGGCAGCAGCAGAGGAAAAGGGUCGAGGGAGAGAGGUGAGAUGUGCUAGGUUUAGAGCGGGGGCAGGUGGGCUUGUGGGGAUGGGCCUAUUGGCCGACUUGGCUGGGGAUGGUUGGGACAGUGAGAGGCCUAGUUGGGCUGGACUCUCCUCUCCCUCUCUCUCAAAUUUUCUUUAACAGAAUAGCACUAGAGAUAAAUAAAAUGAAGAGGGGGUUAGGGAAAGGAAUUUGGGCAGAAGUUGAAUUUUUCCCGGACUCGCAAAAAUGCAUUGGUUCCAAGAAAAAUAGAAAGAAAAAGAAAAAAAGGCAUGAUUGAAAGAUGUAAAUUCAAACUCAUUUGAAUUUAAUUCAAUUGGGUUUGAACUAGGAGUUGGUUAAACGAAGGUCCAAAAAUAUUCGGACUUUUGGUGGAGCACCGGAAUAAGAUGAACGAAUAUAUGGCAAGGUUGGAGUCCAAGACUUAAGAGAACAAAGGCAUUGGGAUAAUUUUCAAGUGUGUUAGAAUAUUUAUUAUAGCUCCCUAACAUAUUGGGAGGAUAUGUUAUAUAGAGAAAUCACCAUGUGAGUUCCCUCAAUUUAAAUGGACCAAAGAGCCAUAUGAUUUAUUUAGUUGAGUUGCAAAAGAAUUAAUGAUAUGAUACAUGAUGACAUGAUACAAUGCACAUGAUGCAAUGCACAUGAUUCAAAGAUGAAAUGCAACGGACCAAACAAAUCACACGAUGAAACCCGGAAAUCAUGGAAGGCACCUGAAGCUUCGGUCUUGGGGCGUCACAAUCUUCCACCAAAUAAACCAACUAGCAUCAACUACAAGGAGUAAUCAACACUACUAGCAACCCACAUGUACCAAUCUGAGGUUUGGAUACAAAGUUUGGAUACAAGAGAUGAACUAGGGUUUGAGAUGAGAUGGUGCUGGUGAAGAUGUUGAUGGAGAUUGACCCCCUCCCGAUGGGAGGAUCGUUGGUGAUGACGAUGGUGAUGAUUUCCCCCUCCCGGAGGAAAGUUUCCCCGGCAGAACAGCUCUGCCGGAGCCCUAGAUUGGUUCCGCCUCGUGGCGGCAGAGUUUCGUCCCGAAAGCUUGCUUAUGAUUUUUCUCGGAUGAAAGACCUCAUAUAGGAGAAGAUGGGCAUAGGAGGGCCACUAGGGAGCCCACGAGGGAGGGGGUGCGCCCAGGGGGGUAGGGCGCGCCCCCACCCUCGUGGCCAGGGUGUGGGCCCCCUCUGGAACUUCUCUCGCCCAAUAUUUUUUAUAUAUUCUGGAAAUAACUUCCGUGAAGUUUCAGGACUUUUGGAGCUGUGCAGAAUAGGUCUCUAAUAUUUGCUCGUUUUUCAGCCCAGAAUCCCACCUGCCGACAUUCUCCCUCUUCAUGUAAACCUUGUAAAAUAAGAGAGAAUAGACAUAAGUAUUGUGACAUAAUGUGUAAUAACAGCCCAUAAUGCAAUAAAUAUCAAUAUAAAAGCAUGAUGCAAAAUGGACGUAUCAGUAUCCCAGCCUCAAGGAAGAUGGAUCGCUUUUUGAUCAACAUGACUUCGCUGCUUGUGUCAAGGAGAUUCGUCCUCAUGCAACAAUAAUUGCCGACGAGACCAACCUCACCAAAUAUCAGCCGGGUUACGAUGCAGACAACCAGAAGAUGGCGCUCCUUCAUACAAAGUGAUGGAUUUAAUCCUGCCGAUUUGUAAGCACACUUUCGCCCCUGAUAUCAAUCCGUCUGGUCUGAUUGACAACGAGGCUGAAUUUGUCGCCCUUCAUGGCUUUGACUGGUCCAAACCCAACUUCCAGAUGGUGGAGGAGGAGGACGAACCAGCAAGGGAUGAGCCGCAAUCUUUAGUUCAGCGGGGUCAAGAUUCAUGAACCAGGGCCAGUUUAUCAUAGACUAAAAACAGUUAUCCUUUUGGGCUCCAAAUGCCUUGUAAUAGGCUAUCUUCAAAACUUCUUGUUCUGCUAUGCCAUCGUGCAUAUUGUGCUGUUUAUGAUACUUCGUUAUCCAUCAUGCGAGGACAUGCUAUAUAUGCCUGAUGAUUUUACCAAUCUGGAAUUUGUUCCUUCAUACAACAGAUAAAAAGUGUCCAGGUGGUUUACCGCUGGACGGGUUAUACUGCCCCAACCUGAGUUUAUCAUGAUUUAUAACCAAUGUCGGUCGAAAUAAUAAUCAUAUAUGAAAAAAUAUAUCAUACCUGUGAUGUUUGAUCACACUUGUUGGUUUAUCAAGCCAGUGCGGUAAGGAUGAUAACCCAAAGCUCCAAGCACCAGAAAUUUAGAGAUUGUCGGCUUAUGAACAAAGAUGGACAGGGUCAAUAAGCACCGGAUAUGAUUUUUACUUCAUACUGGCGACGCAUAGUCAAAACCAGGCCGGGUCAAUAAACACCAGUUUAAUGUCAUAUAUGACUCAGGAGGCAUUAUAAGCCUUAUUGGUUUUCAACCAUAUAUUAUUAUGUCACAAAAGAAAAAAAAUCUCAAAAAGACGUGCAAAGCAACAAACAAAUAGAAAAUCCAAGGCUUUCAUAGGCCGCCAAGCCAAAAUAUCUUCUUCAAUGAAACUAGCAUUAGCAACUGGAAGGUGAGGGAGUCCUGGACUAAGGGGUCCUCGGUCGUCCGGCCUGUUAUCCAUGGGCCGGACUGAUGGGUUGUGAAGAUAUGAAGGCCGAAGAAUGCACCGUGUCUGGAUUGGACUCUACUUGGCGUGGAAGGCAAGCUUGGCGACUGAAGAUUCCUUCUUAUGUAACCGACUCCAUGUAAACCCUAGAUCCCUUCGGUGUCUAUAUAAACCGAAGGGGAUAGUCCGGAAAGGACACCACAUAUACUCAUUACCAUACCCCCAUAGGCUAGACUUCUAGGGUUUAGCCAUUAUGAUCUCAUGGUAGAUCAACUCUUGUAACACCCAUAUUCAUCAAUAUCAAUCAAGCAGGACGUAGGGUAUUACCUCCAUAGAGAGGGCCCGAACCUGGGUAAACAUCGUGUCCCCCAUCUCCUGUUACCAUCAAUCCUAGACGCAUAGUUCGGGACCCCCUACCCGAGAUCCGCCGGUUUUGACACCGACAUUGGUGCUUUCAUUGAGAGUUCCACUGUGCCGUCGACAAAAGGUUCGAUGGCCCCUUCAAUCGUCAAUAAUGACGCUGUCCAAAGAGGAACCUUCCUCCCCGGACAGAUCUUCGUAUUCGGCGGCUUCGCACUGCAGGCCAACUUGCUUGGCCAUCUGGAGCAGAUUGGUAGCUACGCCCCUGGCCAUCAUGAGAUGGUCCCUGCGGCUGCAACGACCUUAGAGUCGAAGCAGAUCGAGCCAUCCGAGGCUGCAGAGUCUGCGGCGUUGGAGCCGCACAUGGACUCGAUGCCCUGCAACAUUCGCUUUAACGGAACUUCGGACUCGUCUCCGGUUAUAAGUUUCGGAUUGUGUACGCCCGCGAACACCGAGCUAGAUCGGUUAUCGAUCUUCGAGUUUAGUGCCGCUGACGUUUUCCAGCACUCGCCUUUGCGUGACGUGCUAAAAUCUUUAAAGAAUUUGUCCUUGGAGAAGGAAUCAUAGCCGAACUAUGUCCGGUUCGAGCUAGAGACGGAUGAUGAGGAAUCUUGCUUCCCACCCGCCACCCACUUCAUAGCCACCGUCGAUGACUUAACCGACGUGCUUGACUAUGGCUCCAAAGACAUCGACGGUAUGGACGACGAUGCCGACAAGGAGCAAGGCCAAGACCUGCCAUUCACUGGACGUUGGACGGCUACCUCUUCGUACGACCUGUACAUGGUUGAUACACCCAAAGGAUCUGGCGACGACAAAGAAGAGCCAGAUGCGAAUAAAACCCCCGAGACACAGUCCAAGCGCCGGUGGCCCAAGCGCCGCCCCAAGCCCCGCCGCUCAAAGGACGGCAACACUGGCACAUGAGAAAAUAAUACUCCGGGCGACGCCGAAAACAAUGAAGGCCCUGUCGGGGCUACAUCCGAACAGGAACACGACAGCAGGCAAGACAACCCUGAUGAAUAGGCCAUAGAAGAUGACUCGGAGGAUGAUAGUUACCGUCCACCCUCCGAGGAGGAGACAAGCCUUGGCAAUGAAGACUUCAUCGUUCCUGAGGAUCCUCUCGAGCAGGAGCGCUUUAAGCUUCAGCUCAUAGCCACCGCAAGGAGCCUGAAAAAGAAACAACAACAGCUUCAAGCUGAACAAGACCUGCUCGUCGACAGAUGGACUGAUGUCAUGACAGCCGAGGAAUACGGCCUCAAUCGCCCAGCCAAGAGCUACCCGAAACGCAGACUGCUACCUCAAUUCGAGGAGGAGGCAUCGGAGCACAUAUCUCCCUCGCGUAAAGCGGAUCGACCACCACGUGGUCGAGACAGGGCGGCGGAACGGCCACCCCGCGAUCGGGAUAAAGCGGCAAUUCAGGCCGAAUAGCAGACCGCUCCACCACCCCGUCAAAAUAGGGACAGAAGAGUCUGGAGUCAUAUGUACGACCUCCGAUAGACCCUGGAUAUUAGCGCAAGACACACAAGAUCGAUCUACGGAUCACGAGGACAUGCCUCGAGGCACGACGACGACAGCUACCUAUUCGGACGUGACAAACCUAACCACGCUCGGGCCGAAUGCCGCAGACGGACUCCUUCAGAGCUCCGCCAUGAUGCGGCACGAUAUAGAGGCGCCGCACACCCUCUCUGCUUCACAGAUGAAGUACUGGACCAUGAAUUCCCCGAGGGGUUCAAGCCCGUCAAUAUCGAAUCAUACGACAACACAACCGAUCCUGCAGUAUGGAUCAAGGAUUUCAUUCUCCACAUCCACAUAGCCCGAGGAGAUGACCUCCACGCCAUCAAAUUCUUCCCAUUAAAACUCAAAGUACCAGCUCGGCACUGGUUAAAUAGCCCGCCUAAGAAUUCUAUCAGCAGUUUGGAGGACUUGGAAGAGGCUUUCCUCGACAACUUCCAAGGAACUUAUGUCCGGCCACCAGAUGCCGAUGACCUAAGCCACAUAGUUCAUCAACCCGGGGAAUCAACCAGAAAAUUCUGGACUAGGUUCCUAACGAAAAAGAACCAGAUCGUUGACUGUCCGGAUGCCGAGGCCCUAGCAGCCUUCAAACACAGCAUCCAUGACGAAUGUCUAGCACGCCACCUCGGACACGAAAAGCCGAAGUCAAUGGCAGACCUUACAACACUCAUGACCCUCUUUUGCGCAGGCGAGGACAGCUGGCUGGCUCAUAGCAAAAACACAGCCAGCGAGGCAGGCCCCACCGAGGCCAAGAAUAGCACCGACAAGUUCCGACGCAAUAGACACAAACACAGAAGCAAUGGCGACAACACCGAGGACACCACAGUCAAUGCCGGAUUCAGUGGCUCCAAGUCUGGCCAAUGGAAGAAACCCUACAAAAGAAAUAACGAAGGACCUUCCAGCCUGGACCGCAUACUCGACCGUCCGUGCCAAAUUCACGGCACCCCGGAUAAGCAAGCCAAUCAUACCAAUAGGGAUUGUUGGGUCUUCAAACAGGCUGGUAAGUUAAAUGCCAGAAACAAAGAAAAGGGAUCACAAAGUGAGGACGGAGAUGAAGAGCCCCGGCAGCCGAACACCGGGGGACAGAAGAAAUCCCCCUCAGUCAAAACGGUGAACAUGAUAUAUGCCAUGCACAUCCCCAGAAAGGAGCACAAACGAGCACUCAGGGACGUCUACGCGGUAGAGCCAGUCGCCCCAAAGUUCAAUCCGUGGUCGUCAUUUCCAAUCACCUUCGAUCGACGAGAUCAUCCGACUAGUAUCCGCCAUGGCGGUUCGGCCACACUGGUCCUUGACCCAAUCAUCGAUGAAUUCCACCUAACUCGAGUCCUGAUGGAUGGCGGAAGCAGCCUCGACCUGCUAUACCAGGAUACAAUACAGAAGAUGGGCAUUAAUCCCUCACGAAUCAAACCAACAAAGACUACCUUUAAAGGAGUCAUUCCAGGUAUAGAGGCCCGUUGUACGGGCUCAAUCACGCUGGAGGUGGUCUUCGGUUCUCUAGACAACUUCCGAAGCGAAGAGUUAAUCUUCGAUAUUGUCCCCUUCCGCAGUGGCUACCACGCACUGCUCGGACGAACCAUGUUUGCUAGAUUUAACGCAGUGCCACACUAUGCUUAUCUCAAGCUCAAGAUGCCCGGUCCACGCGGCGUCAUUACAGUCAAUGGCAAUAUGGAAUGCUCCCUCCAAACAGAGGAGCAAACUGCCGCCCUAGUAGCAGAAGUACAUAGCGGCCUUCUCAAGCAGCAUUAUAAUACAGCUGCCGAGCCCCUGGACACCAUCAAGAGGGUCCGGACUACACUGCAAUAGGACAACGCGGCUCGUCAAGAGCUCGAUUAGCAAUCCGGCCUCCGUCCCAAGCCCAAUGAGGUAGUGCCAUUCGUACCACGCGUACACAAUUACGCGCUCAAAGUUCCAUGGACAUCGACGGAGGCAAGAGAUAACCCGGGGUCUACAAUUCGGCCAGACCGAUCCUGGAUACACAUACUUUUACUUCUUUUUCUUGUUUCAGGCACCCUUUUUUCCGCGGGCCCGAUAUCAAGUCCUCUAGAAGGACUGGAAUAGACCAGAGGCAAGCAACACAGGUGUAUAGGGUAACCUUUACACAUUCUUCCUGAUGGUAUUCAUACUUAUUCCUCAGGACCCGCACAUUGCGCCCUAUUGAUUCCGGCAUGUUAAAUGGCCAGAUACUUAUCGCACCAUGUGUACAAGAUACGACUUGACGUAUCCAUCCAGUUAUAAUAAAAAUGGUUCGUGGCCCAGUUACUGUGGUUUUCGCUUCUUACUUCGUUUUUAUCUCGAUCUGCUUAUUUGCUGCAUCGACACUCUUUUAUGUUUAAUGUUCGCCACGGCUACCUAUCGCCCCACAAUACGGCAGCACAGUCCGAACACUUCUUAUAUAAGUUCGGCACCCCAAGUUUAGCAUUAUAUGCAUUGGCUCCGAUUCAUGUCUUUGGUCAAUAGUUGGGUUGCCCGGCUCCUGUGCUUGCUACCCUACGUUCCGCUUCAUCGGCUAGGGUAGUAAAGGGAGAACUACUGCGAUUGUGCCCUGGCUUUGACCAGACGAGCACCUCAGUAGAGAAAGCCGAAAACUGACUGUCAUAAUGUGGCGAGAUCCGGUCAGCUAAUCGAGGGUUACAAAUCGUUGGAGAUUUUUUCGACGUUACGCGAGAGAUUGGCACUUCCCGAUCAGAUGAUGACAGUACUCUGGCUUAAACCAGGGGCUGCGCCCAUGCUUUAUUAUAGAACUCCUAUGGCUAAGUGAGGGCGUUAAAGCCAUAAAGUCUGAUUGCCUUGUUCGUUGCGCUAAACAACUCCUUCAAGGACCAUGUAAUUGGAUCAAGAUUGUUUAGAUUCCAUCCUGAACACCUCCGUACUAUCUACGUGAGGGCAGAAGCCGAGGACUGGCCAACCCUCAUAUUACACACAACACGGCCGCACAAGAGGAAACAAUUCAAAGCAUAAUAAAACUACUUUACAAAAACUGGCUUUGUUCCCAUAAUACAAGACAAAGGCAACAUGAAUACAUUUAUUCAAAUACAAUGUCCUGCGAACAUUGGGCCGCUACAAGUCGAGACCCUUCUACGACAUCCUCGAAAUAUCACUCGGGUGUGCGAUGCUCCUUGCCCUCCGGCGCCCCGCUGGUGACUUCAACAACAUUCAUCUUCGCCCACCACAUCUUGUAGCGAGCGAAGGCCAUACGGGCACCUUCAAUACAGACGGAGCGCUUGAUAACAUCCAGCCGAGGACAGGCGUUCACCAUCCGCCUCACGAGUCCAAAGUAGCUGCUAGGCAUAUCUUUGGCUGGCCACAGCCGGAUUAUCAAAUCCUUAAUGGCUAGUUCGGCCACCCUAUGCAGCUCCACCAGCUGUUUCAGCUAAUCGGUGAAGGACACAAGAUGCUCUGGUGCUGCAUACUGCGACUAGAAGAGCCUCUUCGAAGAACCCCUCCUCCGGCUCGAUAAAACUCCACGGCGUCUGGUACACUACGUGGCAAAUCCGAGAAAGCCCCAGGGGAACUCCGAACCCGGGUUAGUAAAAGGUACUGCUUCUCCGCAUACUUGCUUUGCAUCUUACAUGCCUUACCCGCUGUUAUCUUCUUGGCCUUCUGGAUCUCCUGAAGGGCAGCCUGGGCCUCAUUCCGUGCGGUCUCCAUGCUCUGAUGAGCCUUAGCGAGUUUGGUCCCUCGAACCAACGCAUCAUGCUCCAAGGCCUCGCAUUUUUCACCGCAUCCUGUAGCUCCUAGUGGACUUCUUUGACCCGGGCCUUUAGCUUCUUACGGGUGGCUUGCUGCUGGACAUCCUGCUCCUUGGCCUUGCCCAGGGCCUUCCUCAGGGCCUCGACCUCGGUCGCGGCUUCUGCACACAUCACAAUACCGCUGUCAACAUACAGCGCUUACCCUUUCCCGAACAUAUAGCAAGUCGUUUCUCACCUUGCUUCUCCUGGAGCCGAACCUUAACCUCACCGAGCUCGUUCUCGGUCCACUCCAGCCUCCGCUUCAGCUCAAAGACCUCGGCAGCAUGCGAGGUCGCGGCCAACAGGGACGCCUGCUUAUCGAUACAUAUUCAGUCAGCCUCUUAUAAUUAAGGAUGGAUCCCCUGUCCAGAUUCUCCUCACUGAACACCGGACAACGUCUCAGGGGCUACGAACUAUAUGGGGCUUUUCUCUUUCUUACCUCGAAACCUGUUAAUAGGCUGCUGCAGGCUUCAUUCAGUUCGCUCUUGGCGGACUGAACCCUCUCGAUCACCGCACCCAUAAGGAUAGGGUGCUCGUCCAUGACGGAGGCGCUUCGUAGCACCCCCAUCAGGUCAUCUGGCGCUCCUAGAUGGACAGGAGCCACCGACGGAGGUGACGCACCCGCUCCUUUAAAUGGGGCUGCUCGCCCGACUCCGGAGCCAUAUUGGUCUCCGGAAUCAUAUUCGGCCGAGGGCCGAAUGGGAUACGGCCCUCUUGGCUAGUCUCCAUGGGGAUUGACCCCCCCCAUGUGUCCGGCAGUGGAGGCCCCGCCUUGUGGCACCUCCCGGACAAUGUCCUGGGUUCCUCCCCUCAGAGCGGUCCUCCGGGAUAACACUUCGGUGGCGUCCCUGGCCCCGGAGGAGUAAGCAGGCGGUGGCGACAUGCUCGCCAUCUCCGACGAAGCCAACGAACCUCCAGAUGAGGAUUGCUGGAUAAGGUCAUUGGCCAGAUUGCAAUAGUGUGGAUUAACCAUGUUAGAAUAAUAAAAAGAAAGGGCUGGAUGUGCGCAUAAAUAAGCCAUGUGUCACACCCACGAUGCGGCUAUAUCUCCCAUGUGUCGGAGCAUGACUUAGAGGCAUAACCGCAUUGUAGGCAUGUCGUAAGAGGGGUAAUCUUUACACAUCCCAUGUACUGAAUAAGAAAGAGAUAAAGAGUUGGCUUACAAUCGCCACUUCACACAAUACAUAAAUAUAGCAUUACAUCAUCCAUAAUACAAUCAAGGUCCGACUACAGAACCAAAAUAAAGACAACCCCAAAUGCAUAGGUCCCCGAUCGCCCCAACUGGGCUCCACUACUGAUCGAAAGGAAAUGAAACAACACAACAAACACGAUCUUCAUCAAGCUCCCACUUGAGCUGGGUUGCGGCACCUGCACUAGUAUCAUCGGCACCUGCAACUAUUUGGAAGUAUCUGUGAGCCACGAGGACUUAACAAUCUCACACCCGCGAGAUCAAGACUAUUUAAGCUUAUGGGUAGGAAAGGGUAGUGAGGUGGAGCUGUAGCAAGCACUAGCAUAUAUGGUGGCUAACUUACGCAAAUGAGAGCGAGAAGAGGAGCAAAGCACGAUUGUGAACUAGAAGUGAUCAAGAAGUGGUCCUGAAACUACUUACGUUCAAGCAUAACACAAGAACCGCGUUCACUUCCCGGACUCCGCCGAAAAGAGACCAUCACGGCUACACACGCGGUUGAUGCAUUUUAAUUAAGUUAAGUUUCAAGUUCUCUACAACUGGAUAUUAACAAAUUCCCAUCUGCCCAUAACCGCGAGCAUGGCUUUCGAAAGUUCAAAAACUCUGCAGGGGUGUCCCAACUUGGCCCAUCACAAGCUCUCAUGGUCAACGAAGGAUAUUCCUUCUCCCAGGAAGACCCGAUCAGACUCGGAAUCCCGGUUACAAGUCAUUUUGAUAAUGGUAAAACAAGACCAGCAAGACUGCCCGAUGCGCCGACAUCCUGAUAGGAGCUGCACAUAUAUCGUUCUUAGGGCAACACCGGAUGAGCGCUCCGUACAACUAAAACCAGCCUCAAGUUUCCCCGAGGUGGCGCUGCAAAGGAUUCUAGUUCGGACCAACACUUAGACAAGCACUGGCCCGGGGGGCUUAAAAUAAAGAUGACCCUCUAGAGAGCGACUCCCAAGGGAAAAGUUGGUGGUGGUGAGGCAAAUGGUAAAACCAAGGUUGGUCCUUGCUGGAGGAGUUUUAUUCAAAGCGAACUGUCAAGGGGUCCCCAUAACACCCAACCGUGUAAGGAACGCAAAAUCAAGGAACAUAACACCGGUAUGACGGAAACUAGGGCAGCAAGAGUGGAAAAAAACACCAGGCAUAAGGCCGAGCCUUCCACCAUUAUCAAGUAUAUAGAUGCAUUAAUUAAAAUAAGAGAUAUUGUGAUAUCCGAACAUAACCAUGUUCCAACAAGGAACAAACUCCAUCUUCACCUGCAACUAGAAACGCUAUAAGAGGGGCUGAGCAAAGCGGUAACAUAGCCAAACAACGGUUUGCUAGGAAAGAAGGGUUAGAGGCUUGACAUGGAAAUAUGGGAGGCAUGAUAAAGCAAGUGGUAGGUAUCGCGGCAUAGCAAAAAGAGCGAGCAACUAGCAAGCAAAGAUAGAAGUGAUUUCGAGGGUAUGGUCAACUUGCCUGAGAUCGCGCAAGGAAGAAGAACGAGUCCAUGAAGAAGACAAACAGACAUAGUCGAACGUAUCCUCACAAACGCGGCGUUAUCGAAACCAACCCGAAGAAGCAACACCAGAAAGGAGCAAACAACCUAGUAAACAACCAUCACAUAAACAUGGCAUGAUGCACAACCAAGUAUGAUGCAUGUCCGGUUUAAUGAGGCAUGGCAUGGCAAAGUGCACAAGCAAAACUACAAGUUAAGUGGAGCUCAAUGUGCAACGAGUUACAUAUUGCCGGAACACCACAUUUGAUUAUUUAGUUCAAUACCGUUUAUGUACCCAACAAUAUUAAAUGUUCUUACCAUGGCAAGGGGUGAAGCAAAAGAAAACUACCUAUCUAGGCAAGUUUAAAUGAGGCCGAAAAUAACAAACAACAAUUCCGGAAACUCCUCAUGUGCAUAUUUUUAGGUUUGGUACUUUUCUGCCCUAUACACAAUUUUAUAGUUAUUAAACAUGCAAAGUAAAGUCACCAUGUUAAACUAUUAGGCAUUUUUCUACCCCAUUUACAUAUAAAGUUUGUUAAGUUUGGAGCUACGGUUAUUUAGUUAUGAAAUAAAUCAUUUAACAAGUUAUUUAAGCAAAUUAAUGCAAACAUCAGUUUGAACAUUUUAAACAUAGAUGAAAGUGGCAGAUUAUGAAAGUAGAUAAAACUCUGAGCAUUUUACAUAUAUAACAUGUUUUAUUUGGAUGCAUGGACAUUUAGUUAUGAGCAUUUUAAAAUGAUGACAUUUACUGUAAAUAUGCAUGCACUGGAAAUUUAGGGGGGGGGGGGAAACAGAACAUGAAAAAAAAUCUAAACGUGCCGAAUCUGGAGCUGCACGGGCUACACAGGCCAGCUAUAGAUAGAUAUAGAGCACUUUGUGCGCAAGGCAACAGCAGCAGCAGAAUCGGGCCAAGCCCAAGCGGCUGGCUGUGUGGUGUGCAAAAAAGAUAAAUAUGAGGCAAAAAUUGGGGUGCCUGGGACUCGAACCCAGGACCUCCUGGAUGGAUGCAUGCACGAGUGACUAGUGGGCUAUGAUGGAAGUUUGAUAAACAAAUCAUUUAUAUGCAACAUGAACCAUACCCUGGUGCAAGUCUGAUGAAACUGAAAACUGAAACAGCGAUAGCUUGCUCUGUAACCAUGGCUGCUCAAUCGAUGCGGGUCAACGCGAACAGCAGCGAGGCAUUCAUGCACAGGGUCGAAGGGGACGCAGCCAUGGCGGCUCUCGAGCGGCUUCGGUCUGAGGCAACAUAGAGAGAUAUGGCGAGAUGAGAGAAGAACAGAGAGGAAAAGCAGUGACGCGUGAGGCAACUGCGUGCCUCAUUGAUACGUCUCCAACGUAUCUAUAAUUUUUGAUUGCUCCAUGCUAUAUUAUCUACUGUUUUGGACUAUAUUGGGCUUUAUUUUCCACUUUUAUAUUAUUUUUGGGACUAACCUAUUAACAGGAGGCCCAACCCAGAAUUGCUAUUUUUUUUGCCUAUUUCAUAGUUUCACAUAAACGGAAUAUCAAACGGAGUCCAAACGGAAUAAAAUCUUCGGGAACGUGAUUUUCUCACUGAACGUGAUCCAGGAGACUUGGACCCUGCUCCAAGGAACAAAAGAGGCAGUCACGAGGGUGGGGGCGCGCCCCCUGCCUCAUGGGCCCCUCGUUGCUCCUCCGUCGUACUUCUUCCUCCUAUAUAUACCCACAUACCCCCGAACUAUCAGAACAGGAGCCAAAAACCUAAUUCCACCGCCGCAACUUUCUGUAUCCAUGAGAUCCAAUCUUGGGGCAUGUUCCGGAGCUUCGCCGGAAGAGGGCCGUCAUCACGGAGGGCUUCUACAUCAUCAUAGCCUCUCCGAUGAAGUGUGAGUAGUUUACCUCAGACCUUCGAGUCCAUAGUUAGUAGCUAGAUGGCUUCUUCUCUCUCUUUGAAUCUCAAUACAAAGUUCUCCCCCUCUCUUGUGGAGAUCUAUUCGAUGUAAUCUUUUUUUUUGCGUUGUGUUUGUUGAGACCGAUGAAUUGUGGGUUUAUGAUCAAGUCUAUCUAUGAAUAAUAUUUGAAUCUUCUCUGAAUUCUUUUAUGUAUGAUUGGUUAUCUUUGCAAGUCUCUUCGAAUUAUGCGUUUGGUUUGGCCAACUAUAUUGGUAGUUCUUGCCAUGGGAGAAGUGCUUAGCUUUGAGUUCGAUCUUGCAGUGUCCUUACCCAGUGACAGAAGGGCAGCAAGGCACGUAUUGUAUCGUUGCCAUCGAGGAUAACAAGAUGGGGUUUAUUUCAUAUUGCAUGAAUUUAUCUCUCUACAUCAUGUCAUCUUGCUUAAGGCGUUACUCUGUUUUUAACUUAAUACUCUAGAUGCAUGCUGGAUAGCGGUCGAUGAGUGGAGUAAUAGUAGUAGAUGCAGAAUCAUUUCGAUCUACUUGUCACGGAUGUGAUGCCUAUAUACAUGAUCAUGCCUAGAUAUUCUCAUAACUAUGCUCAAUUCUGUCAAUUGCUCAACACUAAUUUGUUCACCCACCGUAGAAUACUUAUGCUCUUGAGAGAAGCCACUAGUGAAACCUAUGGCCCCCGAGUCUAUUCUCAUGAUAUCAAUCUUCAUUACUUUAAUCUUGUGUAACAUGCCAAAUUUUCAAUUUGGAAUGUUAUACAUUAGAGCAUCAUGCAUAUCAUAUUUUAUUUUGCAUUUUGGUUGAUCCUAGAAAUUCUACGCAACUCAAUGACCCACGGAGAGAGUUGGGGAUUUCGUUAUUUUCAUAUUUGAGUUUUCUCAAAUUUUGAGAAUAGGAUCAUUUGAUUUUAUUUAUUUUAUCAUCAAUUAUUUCUAUUAUAAAAAUAUGAGAGAGGGAAUAAAAUGAAUUUCCCAAAAUAAAGAAAUAUUGAGGAUUUAAUAAUAAAAUCAAAUAAGAUUUUAUUUCGGAGUUUUUCGGUGUUUUAUUUGAAUUUAGGAAAAAAGUGUGUAUUUCAAAAUUGCAUUUAGGGCCCAAAUAAAUGUUCACCUUGUGCGGCUUGAUUUUAGAAGCCCGUGAAAAUUAAUUUCGGAAUUUUUGGAGUCUGUUUAGUAUUUAUUUUUAUUUUUCUUCCGAGAGGAAUAAUUAAAAAAACGAACCAACUUAACGGGCCGUGUCCGACCUGGACACCGACCCGGGAGGCCUAUAUAAGCCGAGGCCCGGCCCCGGGGAGAAACCCUAGCCAGCCCCGCCCUAGCCGCCGCCGACGUCCGCCGCCGCCGCCGCCGGAUUCCACCGCCGAUGUUCGUCGCACCUCAUUUUCUGUGCCGAAAAAGAAGAAAAAAAAUCGGCGUUCGUCGUUUUUCUUUUUCUCGGAUUAAAUCCAUGAUUUUUCUGAUCGCGAUUCCUGAUCCGAUUUUCGUUUUAGUAUAACUUUUUGCUCGUUUAUCGGAAUCAGGUGAUUCAAGCGCCUAGGGAUUCGUCUCGAAACCCUCUAUUCGUUUAAUCAACUUAAACAAGAUUUUUCGACUGUAAAAUUUGACCUAGAUCCAGAUUACUAGAACGAAGUUGUUUCUUUCGCCGUUUGACUUUCGUUGCUUCGUUCGAUUUGAUUCUUUUUGCCAACCGAAGUUCUUAAGUUGAACCUUCUGGUUAGAUCUCUUAUUUGAGUUUUACCUGUGCAUUAGAUGAGUACUUAUUGUAUGCUUGUUAGUUUGUCUGCGAUAGAGUACCCGGAGUGCGCCGCCUGUUACUUCGAAUCAUUAGGUUUUGCGGAUCAUCAGCAAGGCAAGUAACACUUUGAUCAUACCUUUUCUACUACCCAGUUUUAUUGCAUUAGAUAAAUCCUCGCACAUUGCAUGAUUAGGAUCUAAUUAAAUUGUGGGAUGGGAAGUAGAUGAGGUAGUACCUAUUACCUAUUUAUUAUCAAACCUUUGGGAGUUACUUCUACGUUUGCUUAUUAUGCCGUGCUAUGCUAGUAGACGUGGAUUGGGUGAGUGAUAUCCAUGACAGAUGUGAGAUUGUUAAUUAAUGGUUUAUCUAAGGUGGCAACUUAAACACACAUCUGGGUGGAUUGAGGCACCUGGGUAUUCCAGGACUUGCCUGUUUUCUUUUGGAUCGCCACCCAGGCUCAAAGGGAUCAUGAGACUAUUCAUACUAGAAACUUCCGUGUGCAGUCACAAGCUAUUAUGGGCUCUAGCAUAGUUGACUAAGUUGUGCGAGCUCUUACAGUGGUAGACUAGCAGAUGUAGGGGAUGUAGGUGGUACGGUCUACCCGAUCGUAAGGUGCUAGCGCUUCUGAAAGACUAUGUCUCGGUCAUCCGUCUUCUCAAACACCAUGUAGUGCGAGAAACCAAACGGAGGCGAUCGAGUCUUGUGGGGAAAAGUGCGCAAACCUCUGCAGAGUGUAAUAAACUAAUCAUGGUUAGCCGUGUCCCCAGUUAUGGACAUCUUGAGUAUCUAGUACUUGGAUUUUCAUGUGAAUCUCAACAUGUUACUCUAAAUUAAUUUUGUUGGGUUAUGUUUAAUGAUGAUGCUUAAUUGGGAUUGAGAAUGCUGUCAACCAUUCUCAAUGUUUAACAACUACCAUGAUAGUAAUUAAAUUUCUUCCUUUGAAGUAGGGAAAAAUUGGCUUUACGCAAAACUGUAACCAUAGAGAUUUCCACCAGCCAAAUAUGCAUAUAGUAUAGCUGUUUCAUUCCAUUACUCUCUGUGUGUUACCUUGCCAGCAUAUUCCAUGUGCUGACCCGUUUUCGGGCUGCAACGUUAAUGUUGCAGACUUUUCAGACGACGAUUAAGGAGUUUUUAGGUCAUGGUUCUAUACUCAGUGAUGCCGUUGGAGUUGAUGGACUCACUUAUCUUCCAAGCCUUCCGCUGUUAUCGUUAUUAGAUGGCCUUAAGCCAUAUUUAUUGUAAUAAGUUCUCUUAUGAGACACUCGAUGUAAUAAGUGUGUGAUUGCUACUCUGCUAUAAAUCCUUCGAGUACUGUGUGGUGUCAGCAUUACUGAUCCAGGGAUGACACCGGAGCACAGAGAUCAGACCGUUUGAGGUCUAGUCGCUACAUUUUGCUUUGCUUUUUUACUUUGCUUUUACUUUUUACUUUUCUUUUACUUUUUACUUUUCAUCUUUAUACCAAAAAUACCAAAAAUAUUAUAUCUAUCAGAUCUCACUCUCGUAAGUGACCGUGAAGGGCUUGACAACCCCUAAUCGCGUUGGUUGCGAGUAGCUAUCGCUUUGUGCAGGUACGAGGGACUUGAGCGUGGGCUCCUACUGGAUUGAUACCUUGGUUCUCAAAAACUGAGGGAAAUACUUACACUACUGUGCUGCAUCAUCCCUUCCUCUUCGGGGAAAACCAACGCAAGCUCAAGACGUAGCAAGAAGGAUUUCUGGCGCCGUUGCCGGGGAGUCUACGCAAAAAGUCAACAUACCAAGUACCCAUCACAAUCCCUAUCUCUCGCAUUACAUUAGUUGCCAUUUGCCUCUCGUUUUCCUCUCCCCCACUUCACCCUUGCCAUUUUAUUCGCCCUCUCUCUCUAUCCUCCCUCUCUAUUUGCCUCUUCUGGCCCGUUUGCUUUUUGUUUGCUCGUAUGGUUGGAAUAGUCAUUUAUUUAUUACUAAACAGAGAACCUAAGAUUUAUGGAUCCUCAUCCGCUUGCUAAUCUUUUUAAGAGAUCCAGUUAUGUUGAACCAAUUGCUAGUGAGUUUUAUGCACUAGAUUAUCUUUAUGAAGUUUUGCUUGAAAUUCGUGAAUCUGAAAAUUGCAAUGAAGUAUGUUAUGAAGUGAUUCAUGCUAGAUCUUUGAAUAAAAAGCAUGCUUGCAAUGAUGUUAUUAUAAAUUCUAUUAAUGACAAUUGUGCUAAUAAUAUGUAAAACCCUAAGCUUGGGGAUGCUAGUUUUGUUAUGUCCUCUACUUGUUGCAAUGAUCAUGAUUGGGGUGAUUCUUCUUUUGAUCUUGAAAAUUUAUUUAAACCCCAUGAUGAAUAUGAGAUUGAUUAUAAUGUUUGCAAUAAUAUUGAAAGUGGGUUUGGAAGAAUUUCAAAUUUAGAUCCCACGUAUUUAUAGAAUGUUCAAUCUUAUGAAGUUUUUGAGAAAAGUGCGUUUGGGAAGGUCAUGACUUUAGUUAAUGUUAAUCCCACUAUUUCGGAAAAGUGCCAACUUUGCAUGCAUGUGGAUCAUGUUGAGAAUAUUUUAUGUGAUAGCUAUAUUGUUGAAUUUUCUUAUGAUCCUACAUGUAAUUACUAUGAGAGAGGAAAAUAUGGUGGUAGAAAUUUUCAUGUUACUAAAUUACCUCUCGUUAUGUUGAGAUUGCUAUUGUUUCUUUCCUCUUCCUUGCAUAUGCUAGUUUUUGCUUGCCUUGAUAAUUUUUUUGCCUAUAAGAUGCCUAUGCAUAGGAAGUAUGUUAGACUUAGAUGUGUUUGUCACAUGCUUUAUGAUGCUCCUUUUGUGCUUCAAUUCUUGUCUUUCAUGUGAGCAUCAUUAAAAUUAUCAAUGCCUAGCUAUAAGGCUUUAAAGAAAAGCGCUUGUUGGGAGACAUCCCAAUAUUUUUCCUUGCUGUUAUUUAAUAAAUAAAUUAUGUAGACUCUGUUUUGGUUGUGUUUUUUGUGUUUAAUUAGUGUUUGUGCCAAGUAGAACCGUUGGGAAGACUUGGGGAAAGUCUUGUUGAACUUGCUGUAAAAAAACAGAAACUUUAGCGCUCACGAGAACUGCUGUAAUAUUUAUUUGAAGAGUGCUAUUUAGUUAAUUAUUUUUGAAGAUGAUUAAUAGAUACAUUCCACACGUCCAGCAAUUUAUUUUAGAAUUUUUGGGGUUCCAGAUCUUGCGCUAGCUACAGAUUACUACAGACUGUUCUGUUUUUGACAGAUUCUGUUUUUCGUGUGUUGUUUGCUUAUUUUGAUGAAUCUAUGGCUAGUAAAGUAGUUUAUAAUCCAUAGAGAAGUUGGAAUACAGUAGGUUUAACACCAAUAUAAAUAAAGAAUGAGUUCAUUACAGUACCUUGAAGUGGUCUUUUGUUUUCUUUCGCUAACGGAGCUCACGAGUUUUCUAUUUUGAGUUUUGUGUUGUGAAGUUUUCAUGUUUUGGGUAAAUUCUUUUGAUGGAUCAUGGAACAAGGAGUGGCAAGAGCAUAAGCUUGGGGAUGCCCAUGGAACCCCCAAGAUAAUCCAAGUACACCAAGAAGUCAAAGCUUGGGGAUGCCCCGGUAGGCAUCCCCUCUUUCGUCCACUUCCAUCGGUAAUUUACUUGGAGCUAUAUUUUUAUUCACCAACAUGAUAUGUGAUUUGCUUGGAGCAUCUUGUAUUAUUUGUGUCUUUGUGUCUUAGUAUGACACAAUCAUCCUAGCUGUACACACCUUUUGAGAGAGCCAUACAUGAAUUAAAAUUUGAUAGAAUACUCUAUGUGCUUCACUUAUAUCUUUUGAGCUAAGUAGUUUUGCUCUAUGUGCUUCACUUAUAUCUUUUGAGCAUUAUAAUUUUGCUCUAUGUGCUUCCCUUAGAUCUUUUAGAGCACGGUGGUGGAUUCGUUUUAAAGAAACUAUUGAUCUCUCAUGCUUCACUUAAAUUAUUUUUAGAGUCUCUUAAUAGCAUGGUAAUUUGCUUAAUAAUAAUAUGCUUGGUAUUCAAGAUUUGUGAAACUUUCUUUUGAGUGUGUUGAAUACUAAGAAAAUAUUGAAGCAUGAUAAUUGUUUUGAGAUAUGGAGGUGAUAAUAUUAAAGUCAUGCUAGUUGAGUAGUUGUGAAUUUAAAGAAUACUUGUGUUAAGGUUUGUAAUUCCCGUAGCAUGCACGUAUGGUGAACCGUUAUGUGAUGAAGUCGGAGCAUGAUUUAUUUAUUGAUUGUCUUCCUUAUGAGUGGCGGUCAGGGACGAGCGAUGGUCUUUUCCUACCAAUAUAUCCCCCUAGGAGCAUGCGCGUAAUACUUUGCUUUGAUAACUUCUAGAUUUUUGCAAUCAGUAUAUGAGUUCUUUCUGACUAAUGUUGAGUCCAUGGAUUAUAUGCACUCUCACCCUUCCACCUUUGCUAUCCUCUCUAAUACCGCACACCUUUCGCCGGUAUCAUACACCUACCAUAUACCUUCCUCAAAAUAGCCACCAUACCUACCUAUUAUGGCAUUUCCAUAUCCAUUCCGAGAUAUAUUGCCAUGCAACUUUCCACCAUUCCGUUCAUGACACAUUCAUCAUUGUCAUAUUGCAUAUCCUGAUACACCGCCGGAUGCAUUCACAUAGUGUCAUAUUUUGUUCUAAGUAUCCAGUUGUAAUUGUUGAGUUAUAAGAAAAAUAAAAGUGUGAUGAUCAUCAUUAUUAGAGCAUUGUCCCAGUGAGGAAAGAAUGAUGGAGACUAUGAUUCCCCCAUAAGUCGGGAUGAGACUCCGGCCAAAAAAAGAGAGUCCAAAGAAGCCCAAAUUAAAAGAGGCCACAAAAAAAGAA